AUAUAUAUAUAUAUAUAUAUAUUGUCUGCAUCGAUCGAGCAUAAAUAGUUGAAUAUACAUAGACCAGGGCUCUUCUAAUGAGGGAUUCCUUUUUUUUGUUUAUUUCUAGGGAUAGAUCAUUUGACGAACUUUUCGAUCACAAAAUCAAAUCUCCAUCGUUCAGUUCGUUGGGCUAUAUGAGUAGAUCAUUUCCACAAAUUUUCAGAAAAUUUGGUGAUCGUUAAGUCAUCCAAAUGAGAGAUUUAUUUUUAAUAAUCUUGAACGGUGUAGGUUUGACAUAAGUGUUAAGUUUUUUGUUUUAAUCUCAACCAUUCAAGCCCAUUAAAAAAUAGAUCUAAUGGUGUGGACAUAUCCCUAGAAAUGAACAAAAAUAGGGAUCCCUCAUUGGAAGGGCCCUGAUACAUAGACACUACAUAUAAUUAUAUGUGAAAAUUUUCAACUCUCGACCUACUCUUGGAAUUAGACUGAGCUUUGUAGUCUUUGCUCUUAUAUAAACUCAAAACACUAAUAUUAGUCAUAAAGAAAUCAGUCCACAUCUCCAAUCAUUGGUCUUAAACCUAAAUCUAUAUUCAAGUUUUAGGUCACUCACACCUAUAAUUAUUUAUAUAAGUUGCAUCUCCAACCCGUGGAGCCAAAAAUCCAAACAUAUUUUUAUCGUUAAUCAUUUUAUAUUAUCAUUUAGUGACACAAAGAGUAAAAACUCAAACAUAUUUUAAUAGUUAAUUAUUUUAUAUGAUUGUUUAAUCAUAUUAUAUCAUACAUAAACAUUUUAUAUUAAUGAAAUCUGACACUGACCAACAUUGAUGACCCAACCUCAUUAAUUAUAGGUUUGGUCAUAUUUGGUUAAGUCAAAAUAUGACACAUUUUAGGUAAAUCAUAUUUUAGCUUAACUUGGAUAGUGGGUUGGAGAUGAGAUUUUACAAAUUCUAGACCUAUUAUAGAUGUUAGACUAAAGGUUGGAGAUGACCAACAAAGAUAUGUGUUUUUUGAAUUAUCACGUGAUCAAGAAAUUUAUAAUCUACAUUUAAAUCUUAAGAUUGAGAAUAAAUUUAAGAGCAUUUCAAUUUACCUCAUAUUGAGAACCCCUAAAGAAUACAUAUUAUUGUAUCCAUAUACCUAGGAUAGAUCGAUCAACUAACAAAAAUAUCUCAAUUAAGAUCCUUUCUCACGUUUAACUUUAUGGGAUGAUGAUGAUGAUUGGUAUAAGUUCAAAUGACAACUUUAUCUUCUAUUUUUACCCACUUUUUAUAUCGCAUGAGCUGCUGGUCCAAUGUAUUAUGUAGAAACGAACUUUUGCUCAUUUGAUAAAGUCAGUGACAGAGCUAUGAAUACUUCCCUGCUGACACAAACUCAUCGAUCACCACAUGACAUUAAGCUCCAGUCCUCUUUUCAAUUUCUUUCCAUUUACUUACUCAAUAUUUUUGUACAACCGUAGUACCUAAUUAAACAGAGAUGUAUAUAUUUGUGUAAACCAGGUUACAUAGAAAAAGGACCGAGUCAUAAUAUUAAGUAGUAAUUGAACAUAUAUAUUGACGUUGAAGCCAAAGCAAUCUUGUCUUCUGUGUAUAGAAACAUAGCCAGUGGGGGAGGUGACCGAGGUUAUAUAAUUUCAAUUCUACUAAAUUCCAACCAGGCAUUGUUGAAUUUUGGUGAUACACUCGGUGUUAGGGUUUUAUUUUGUCUUUACUCUCCCCUACCUAUUUAACCCAUUUCUCCAUUUUCCUUUUGAUUCCACAUCAACUCAAUAUCAUAUCUCUAUCUUAAAUGUUAGUAGUAUUAGCUUGCCAUGGCUGAGCUUGGCCUCCUCUCCUUGACCCAGCUCCAAGCGCAAAAUUCUCAAUCAAACCCUAGAUCAGUCUGGAUGUGGAACCCUAAGCAGGCGCAUGACCAAGAAGACGACUCAUGGGAAGUGAGGGCAUUUGCGGAGGACACCGGAAACGUGAUGGGCACCACGUGGCCGCCGAGGUCUUACACCUGCACAUUUUGCCGGAGGGAAUUCCGGUCUGCUCAGGCCCUCGGUGGCCACAUGAACGUACACCGCCGCGACCGGGCACGCCUCCACCAAGUGCAGCACCCUAGCUCAAUCUCAAUCAACCCUUCUGCCGUCUCCUCUUCCAAUUCUUCAUUCGUAAUCCCAACUCAAGAGUUCCUCGCCGCCAAUGGCGGAUUGUGCCUUCUUUACCAAUUGCCUCACCCUAAUAAUGGAGCAUUCACUAAUAGUAAUGCUACUGCUCCCAUUACACCUUUUCUUAAUAACACUACUGUUGAGUCUUCUUCUUCUUCAGUACCUUCCACUCUUCUCUCCAUCUCCCCUAAUCCACUCCAUGACUACUUAAUGACGUCAUCGUCUAGUCUUGUGGGACCUCAUGGAGUUUCCAAUUCCAUAAAAAAUUCUCAUUGUCAAUACGCAAAAAGAUCGGCGGAGGAAGAUCAACCUUUGAAGUCUGGGGUUGAAGAUAGUGAAGAGCUUGAUUUAGAGCUCCGGCUCGGUCCAUCUUGAGAUGAUGAACCAGAAAGGAUGGAUGGAUGGAUCGAUAAGUCGAUAUAUACAAUGGUGUGUUUUUGCAGAUUUACAUUUUUAUCGUAAAAUUGAUGUGUAAGACACAAUCUACUUAGCUAGAAAGCUCUCAGAAACUUGUAUGAGAUUGAAUUUUUGUUUUUUUUUCUUUCAUUAAAUUAAUUUUUGGUGGUUGAUGAGAUAUGUAUUCUUUAUUUCUUUUUAGUAGCUGAAACUGAAAGACACAGAAGAGGCAUAAAAGGCAUAGAUAUCUAAUUUCUUUUCUGAUAAUAUAGGGGAAAUUUUGGUAGGUGUACAUGAUGUUUGAGCCACUAAAAAUUUCUAUACAUGAAGUUUGAAAACAUUAACUUUGGUACAUCAAAUUCCAAGUUCGACCUAAUAUCUAUGCACGACGUUAAUCAUGUCUUUAGUUUAACAGAUAUGUGACAUAUUUUCAGGGGUAAAUUGGUCUCUGCAUACUUCCAUGAAAUCCAACUAAAUCCAAAACUGUAGAGACAUGGAAGAGUGCCUCUAGUGCUCUCUACUCAGGCGAGAAAUGACAUUGUUGAUUAACAUACAAGAUAAUUAGAUUCACUAUUAAGCAACACCCUAACAUGGAACAUGACCAUCGACCAUCAAUUUCAGGAUUCCAUAUAAAACUAGAACAAUGAAGUCUAACAAUUGAUAUGUUAAAUUCAUAACCUUUAGAACAAUGAUGAAGAAUCCAACUCCUCAUCCUCCCCAAACCCCAACUCUUGUCCCUUCUCCCUCUUCCGCUACCUCUUCCUCCCCACUCCCCGUCAACAAUUCCCCUCCCGACCCAUCAUCUAUGCCGUCCACUUUCGCCACCCACUCGCCUUCCUUGCCUCCCACCACUCUCCUCGAACACAUAUAGGCCAUAUCUCGUAGAGAGACGCUUUGGAUUUCGAGAGGUGUUUCACCUCCACAAACCUCAAGCACCUCGGCUCCCCAAAGCUCAGUGUCUGUGAGCUCGACGAGUUGCCAGAACAGGGGUGGAUCUGUAAGGAGUUGCCGUCACAUUAGAAUUAAAAUUAUGGUUUUGGUGUAGCUAAAAGUGGGUCGAGUACUAUGGGUGCAGAUGUUAAAAUGAGAAGAUGCGAGGGCAUAGAGAUUAGGGGAGAUUAGAUCGUUUCUGUGUUUGAGCAAUGUAGAAAGUGAGAGUAAGACAGUAAGAGUAUGAGAAUACAAAAUUACCCUUUGACAAAUUAAUAAUGGCACAAGAGUUGACGACGACUUUAACGUCGUGCACGAAUAGUGGCUUGAACAUCAUAUGUUGUGUACCAAAAUGCUAGUUUUGAAACUUUCAUGUAUAGAUAUUAGAUAUUAUCAGUGGCAUUUAGUUGAUGUACCGUUUGUAAAAUUUUCUUUAAAUUUAAAAGUCUUUGUAAUUUAAAUUUUAAUAAUUUAUUUUUUUUAAACUUUCAGAGAAAGAUGAAAUUAGGGCUUUUAAAUUGAGUGAUUGAGAGAGUGGGAUAAAAGGGUUGUAGUGCAGUGUCAUUUUUUUUUGCAGGUUGUCUGAUGUAAAAGGGUAUAUGUGUUCUGGUCUCUGUGCAUACAUUUCCAUGGGGAUUACUUCUAUCACAUAUGGCUCGCUCUGUGGUUCCUCCUCUUAUUUUUCACAAACCACAAAAAUGUUACUGCAACUACUUCAAUAAUUAUUUGAUUUUGAUCGAUCAUUCACAAACACGGACCUGAGGUGAGCCUAAAGAGACAACAACCUGAGGCCCCAAAUUUUGAGGGCACCAAAAUGUGCUCAACCACAGUCCAUGCUGGACCAUGCACAUGAUAGUACUAUAAGGAAUUGAGGAUAGUACAGUUGCAUUUAGCAUAUGAUGCAUGCAUGAUAUCAAUCACAUACAUACAUAUUCAUCUCUUCUUUUUCUCAGUGCAAGCUUAAUUUCUUUUGCAAUCUAGUUUUUUCCCAAUUAUCUGUGUUUGAUUAUGGUGUUAACGAAAUCGAAAUCGAAUAGAUGGACUCACUUGAUGGUCGACAGUCCAGUAACUCCACCUAAUUUAAGUGGAAAAUUGUGUGACACAAUGUUGUAUGGUCUUCAUUGAUUUUUUUCUCGUAUGACCGUUAGAGGCACUAUGCCAAUAACAUCAUCAGACGACACAGGAGGCACGACAUAUAAAGCAACAUUUGAAACAAGUGUCGUCUGAAGGUUUUUAUGGUUUUUUAGACGAUAUAUAAAAUGUAAAAGUCGUCUUAAUGACAUCCUACUUCAAUACUUUUAGAGGCUAGUUCAUUUUUUCUAGGUUUGUAAAAAUCAUACGACAUAUAGGUGUGGUGUGAACAAACUUAGAAAUUCUCACUUUUAGCCGAAAAUUGAGACCUCAUAUAUAUGUUGUGUGAGAAAGGCUGUCCAAAUCUAGUUUUCAGCUCUUUUAAUGUUCUUCUGGAGACGACAAAUAUAUGUCGUCUGAAAAUUGAGUUGAAAAUUAAGCUGAAAUGAGGUUUUUAGUUGAAAAUUGAGACCUCAUAUAUAUGUUGUGUGAGGAAAGCUGUCCAAAUUGGGUUUUCAGCUCUUUUAAUGUAUUUCUGGAGAUGACAAAUAUAUGUCUAAAAUAAACUGAAAUUUUCAAUUCGAACUUAGAAAUUCUCACUUUUUGUUGAAAAUUGAGACCUCACAUAUAUGUUGUCUGAGGAAGGCUGUCCAAAUUCGGUUUUCAGCUCUUUUAAUGUAUUUCUGGAGACGACAAAUAUAUGUCGUUUGAAAGAAACUAAAAUUUUCAAUUCAAAUUUUUUUUUGUGCAGAGUUUUACUUAUGAGACAACAUAUUUAUGUCGUCCAAAAAGAACCUUAAAUUUUCAAUUGUGCGCGGAAGCAAUUUUCCACAUCUUAGCGAAUUCGAAAUUUUCCCGCUCUUAACGAAUUAUGGCGCCACUUCUUUGUGUGACUCAGACGACAUAAAUAUGUGGUAGUAAGAGGUCCGAAAUUGGUCAACAAACGAUAUGUCUAUUAUCCAUACGGAAACGCUCUUAUCUCCUCCGACCGAACCUAUUUUUUUUAUUCGUGAAUGCUAUAAAUCUCAUUGAGUACCCGCAAAACUAAUCUAUGAGAAAAUUUAGACACGUUUAUAAACCUAUCAUAUAGGUCCCCAUAGAAAAAUUUAAACGUAAAUAAAGUUGACUCAUACGAUUGAGACCCAAACUUUAUCGAAAAUUGGUAAGUUUUCUACGGUAUCCAUAUUUUACUUAUGUAAUCACAUCGUACGGUCAAAUUUUACAAAUUAGAUUUUGUUCAUACAGUUGGCUUAUAAAAGAUACAUGUUUAGGUAUAAUGUAGUAAACGUCUUAUAGCACAUUAGUAGACACGUCAUGAUUGAAAUGAUUAAAACUAAAAAAAUUCAAGUUUGAGUAUUGGAUAUUAUCAUGAUAGCGAAACCUAGCCAUGGUACAAAAUUUAGACAUUUUCGAUAAUGUUCGGGUCUCGGUCGAUGCGGUCAACGUUAGUUCGAUCAUUCUUAAACAAAGUCAGACUACAUAUACAUGUUGUCUGAUUAAUACUUGAAAAAGUCAACACAAUUAUCAAAAUGGAAACACUCUUAUCUACUCCGCCCAAAACUUAUAUAUUCAAUUCAUCAAAACUCAAACUCUCCUUUGGUAUUGGCGAAACUAAUCCAUGUGAAAAUUCGGUCACUUUUACAAAUCGAUGGUAUAGUUCCCCAUAAGGAAGCGUAGGAAAGUUUGUGCGUAAAUAAAGUUGACCCAUGCGAUCGGGACCCAAACGUUAUCGAAAAUAGGUAAAUUUUCUACCAUAUCCAUAUUUAACGAUUGUGAUCACAUCGUACGGUCAAAUUUUACAAGUUUUAUUUAUUUCAUAUAGUUGCUUUAUAAAGAUGUACAUAUAGAUAUAAUCAACCUAGUAAACAUGUUGUAGCAUAUUAGUAUGCACAUUGUGAUUUAAAUGACUAAAAUUCAAAAAACUAAAGUUUGAAUAUUGGAUAUAAUCACGAUAGUGAAACAUGGCUUUGUUACAAAAUUUAGACAUUUUUGAUAAAUUUCUGGUUUCGUCGACGCGGUAAACGUUAAAUCGAUCGUUUCUUAAUAAACUUACACUACAUAUACAUGUUGUCUGAUGAGCACAUAAACUUAAUAAACGUCAUAAAAAGUUUUACCCAGUUUCAAAAUUUUCACUUAACCGCGCCUUAUUUUUCAUCAAAAAUCAAAUUCCCCUUUUCCUAAUUUUAAGUCUUCAACUUUUAAAGGUUUCCAAGCUUGACCAAAACUUUUGACCAAAAAAAAAAAAACUUCACCAAAACUUAAAACCCUAGCAGCAUUCUCUUCCUCACAACUUAACUUUUUCUUCUUAUUUUUCACUCGGCCGCACAACUCUCUUCUUCUUCUACUUCUUCUUCACUAGCAGCCUUCUCUCCCCUCUCUCAAAAACCAGAAACUCUCACUCAUACCUCCACUUCCUUCACUAUCACCGCCUCCACCUCCUUCACCUUCGCCGCCUCCACCUCUUUCCCUAUCACUACCGUCGUUGCCUCAGGCAGCAAGAGCGAUGACGCAGCAUAUGAACAACAUCGUCGACGCUCUGAUCGGAUCCAGCGACUUUAGGAGCUGGGUCAACAUCAUCAUGGCGGCAAAUCCGCUCUCCCUCCCACUCAGCACCACCGUCUUGAUGCCGAAAAACGUCGCCGUUUCACGCCUUCCCGUCGUCGACCCGUUCUUGCUGCCUUACCACGUCGUCCCUCAGUUCCUCACCUUCGUCGAUCUCCGCCUCUUCAAGAACAGCUCCUGCCUCCUGACUUUCCUCCCCGAGAAGUUCAUCGUCAUCACCAAAACACUGAGUCCAAUUUCACCGUCGAUGACGCCACUAUCACCCAGCCCGACUCUCCUCCAUUCUUCAACCUCCGGCUCCACCUCGAUUGCGUCUCUGAUACCGUUGACGAAGCCUACAUCUUCGAUCCCGACGCCGAUGCCUGCAUCUCCGAUUUCGUCAACGAUGACUUCAUCUCUGAGAGUCUAUCCAGGACUCGAUCGUCGAUCACCGCCGCACUCCCAAUCACUCUGAUUUGAUAUUCAAGGGUACGUACGAUCUCUUCUCUCUCUCUAGGGCAGUUCUAUUAUGAUCUAUCAUCUAACUGAGUUUGUUUGAAUGUGGAUGUGUGUGGAUUUGCAGGAGGUCAGUUGAAAAUGGCGGUUCCGUUGUUGAAGAAGGCGAUCGUAAGAUACGGUCAACUAGUCAAGGUAUUCACCUUCUUCACCAUUAUGACUAUUAGCUCUUGCUUCCGAUUUGUAAUAGCUCGAUUUCACUUUUGAGUGAAAAUGAUGAUAGUGAUUGUCGCCCCAGUCUUAUUUGCAUCCAAGAGAUGCAAAGUGGUGAAUGACUUGCUUAUAACUUAUUCCAUAUUUAUUUUAUGUACAAAUUGCUUUGAAUCUUUAGUAUAUGUUUGUUUGCUCAGUACCUAGCUACAUUAGCAUACGAAUAUUUAAUGUAUGAAGGGUCUUUGCUGAUGACAACUCCUAGCUAUACAUAUAUAGUUAUAGAUUGUAAUAGCUAAGUUAAUUACGAAAGCAAAGCGAACUGUAACUUGUAUACAUAUCGUGCAAAGCUCAUUACUGCUCUCUACUAGAUUGACAAACUUGAUAGAAAUAGGCACCACAGACAAUGCACAAAGGAAUGGAAUUGUUGAAUCAAGGUUGGGUAUGUAGUCAUAGAUUAAUUAAAUGUCUGUCAUGGAGCAACAAUAUAAAUUUGGUUUAUUCAUGUGGUCUCCUUUUGUUCUAUUUCAGGGGAACUUGAAUUGUCAUUGCAAUUGGUAGCAUUAGUCCUCUUCUUGUUUCAUGAGCAGUAGGCACAAGUUUUGAUUGAAAUUGGUGAUGCGUGUAAUGCAAUAAAGAGAGCUACUCGUGAAUUCUCCUACUUAUCUCCUCAUUUUCACUUUCGAGCUCUAUUUCCGUUUAGUUUCUGUUGUAUGCAAGUGAUUGUUGUCUAUUUCAAUUUCACUGGUUUGAUUGCAAGUGUUUUGUUAUACUUAUAUGUGGAUAAAUGUUAGCAGGAGCUACUGGGUAGGAGUGUUCAUGGGCUGAGGUAUGUCAAAAUGCUCAAAACUUCUUCACUCUGUUUUUCCCUUGCAAAUGAUUCUCUAUUCUUCCUAAUAUUAUAUGUAGACAAUGCAGUAUAUUGUCUUGCUGAGAAAAUAGUGUUGACAUUGUCCUUAAUGGUCCAUAUAAACAUAUAUUUAUAGUUAGCUGAGACAUAGUAAUUGACAAUUUUUAUUGAAAUUUUGCUUGACAUUUUGGAGAAAAGUAUAAUAGAUAAUUCUUAUGCUAGCAUCCAUGUGAUUUUUUCUUUCUUCACAUUGUUUAGGUAAUGGGUCACCUUUGGCAGAGCAUCCAAUUGGUUUGUAGAUUUUUUUGGUUUUAAGUACUUGCUUUGUUUUCCGCCAUUUUUGGAAUAAUAGAGAUGAUAAAAGUUGCUUCCUCAUGAGCUUAUGUUUCUUUUGUUGUAUGCCCUGUUUUAAUUUGUUCAAUUUAACAACUCAUCUGUUAUAACCUGUUAUGCCCACAGUUCAGUUUGAUGAUUUUCUUAUUGUAUACUUUAAAUAAGAGCAGGCGGGUAACCGAAUUAUCAGGAAAAGGAUCCAUGUGUGUGUGGAGCAUGCACCAAAUGAUCUAAUCUCUCAUUCUUUUUGUUGUUGAUUUGGUCAAUAUGUAGGAAUAAGUGUUUGCAGAAGAUUCCAAUGUCAUUUUGCGACUUGAAGCCCCGUUGAGAGGAAUGACAUCAAUGUUGACAUCGUUAAUAGGUUUCGGUAUAUCAUUUCUAGAAAUAGAUUAGGUCCAUAUAUUCAUUUUAGUGAAUAGAUUGAAAGUUGGACCAUAACUUAUAUCCUUUUAUGGAUUAGGAUAAAAAGUAUUAUGUACUCUUUUAAUUGAAGUGGAUUAAUUAUUAACAUUCAAUGAAGUUUUACUUUCUUUGAUUCUUAAUUUUGUUACAUAUGAAGUUCAAUUCAUAGUCAAACAACAUAAGUGCUUAUAAAAAGCAACAAGAAUGUGAAUUCCAAUAGACAAUCGGACAACAUAAGUCUUUAUAACAAGCAACAAAAAUAUGAAGUCUAAUAGACUAUCAGACGACAUAAUUGUUUCAUCAGACGACAUAAUUGCUUCAUCAGACGACAUAAUUGCUUCAUCAGACGACAUAUAUAUGUUGUUGGUUUUCUAUUGAGACGACAUAUAGUCUAAUAAAUUUUCAAAUAUGAUAAUAUCAGACGACAUUAAAUUGUCGUUAAAAAGCAACAGGUGAAUGUAUUUGUCGUUGUAAGUUCUGUAGCUUGACAAUUAGAUACAGUAUAAGGUUGUAUCAUACUACAUCUAUUUCAACAAAUCUUUCAUUUUUUCUUCUUUCACUCGACAUUUAAAUCUCGUUAGUCUUUCAUCCAGACGACAUAAAGUUCGGAAACCUUCAGACUUGUCAAAUUUCAGACGACAUAUUAUCUGUCGUCUGACUGACACUCACACGACAAUGGAGAACUGUCAUCUGAUAGCCUAUCAGACGGCAGGGCCUCAGACGAUAUAUGAUUUUUCGUCAGACGACAGUGCUCAACUGUCGUCUGAUGCUGUUUUUGGCAUAGUGAGGGCACCAUUUUGACACUCGCCUCGGGUCUCAAAAUCUCAGGUCCGGCCCUAAUCAUUCAUCCCAGGCAUCCUUUGGUUAUUAGCUAAUAACGUUCAUCAUUCAAUCAUAUCGUUAGGUUUUACCAACCAAUGAAAGGCUUUAACUAUCUAUAGUCUCUGAAUCAUAAUUUUGGAGUUUCAACACAUGCAACAGUAGUGGAAUUGAAAAGAAAUUCAUACCCACUUAUAGUAAUUACUGAUAAUUAAUAAGAUGCUUCUUAUUCUAGAUUAAUCACUACGCCAAUAAGUGCAACAAACGACACUUUUUACACAACGGUACACAAUAGCAGGGUUGUACAAAUUUCAAAAAUGCUUCAUACAACGAUCAGAAACAUUCAUGUGGAUAGUCUGAGAUCAUUCAAGUUUUUUUUCCUUAAACUAGUACAACACUUUGGACAAUAUUUUGUUGUCUGAAUGAAGAUAAAAAUGAGGCCCAUUUUGCUUCUAACCCCACUCUAGUUUGACAUAUAACUGAGUGUUGUUACACAACAGUGAAACAAAUAAAUGUUGUGUGAAUGUAUACAAUUUAAACUAUCACACAAUACUUUUUAUACAUAUGUUGUACGAUGUAUCUCUCAUGUCAGGCUGCAGACUUCUAGUUUUAAAAUUGCUCUUACAUCCUCUGAAAACCUAAAUUUUUUGUGAAGGAUAGCCUUGGUGGUUUUGAUGUAACAACGGAACACUCAAACUUGUUGUGUGAGAGUAUAGUAUUUUCAACAAUCACACAACGACUUUUCAGUUUUGGUUGUAUAAUGUAUUUUCGUGUCAUGAUGAAGCCCUUCUCUUACAUUUAGCAAUACUACUUUAAGUUCUUCAUCCCACAACAAUCAACUAAGAAAUGUUGUGUGAAGGUAUAUCACACAAUUGUUUUCAAUAUUAUGUUGUAUGUUUCAUAACCUCUAACCCCUAAAAUACCCUAAACCCUAAAAAACCCUAAUAAAUUUCCUAUUGUAGUGCCACAACGGUUCUUUUUUAAUACUGAUGUGUGACGUAAAAUUAAUAUUGUUGAAUUUAUGGUUGACCGAGUUGAUCGAUACCCAAACGUUUCUGAAAAUUUGUGAAUUUUGUUACACUGCUAUACUUCACUAUCAUAAUUAUAUUAAGGGGUCGAAUUUUCAUGAUUUUAAUCCUAAACAUCUAUAUCACAAUCAACCUCCUAAUGAGGUAUAACAUGUUUCCUAUGUGGCACAUAAUGUGACAUAACAUGUGUAGUACAUAUUAUAUAAACGUGUGUUUAUCUAGAGAGACACCAUUGAGGAAAUGAAAUUUUGAAAAUCGAACCGUAUAGACAUGUUUACGAUAUUGAAGCAUGAUUGUGGUAGAAAUGUCAUCAAUUUUCGGUAUUACAUGAGUGUCGAUCGACGCGGUCAACUCUAAUUCAGUUACUUUCACUAUGGGGGAGCCAAACCAUCAUGAUAUAAUUGACAUCACUUCUUGUAUGAGUUCAUGCAUAAUAACCAUAUGAUUAUACGAAUGUCGACAAAAUCAAAAAAAAUGUUUAGCGUAUAAUAUUGCAUUUCGACGUGUUUUCGUAUGAUGAGCCUCCCAUAUUUAGACAACUCUUAGUACUUUUAUGCGUUGUGUGAGUGAAAACUAUGGUUAUUUUAAAGAGUGACUCGUUAGAAUGAAAAGUAGCCGUAAAUCCCGCCCUCACGAUUAUUAAGUGAAUGUCUCUAUUUUCUUUCUUCUCAGACAACACAAAAUAUGCAACUUAUGUUGUCUAAUUUGUAAAAUGGAUAAGGAAAAAUUAAGGCUGAGAUGUAGCAGCGGAAAAUCUCCCGCUCUUGCAAUUUAAGGAUGUCAUUUCUUCUCAGACAACAAAAUAUACAAUUUACGUUGUCUGAUUUGUAAAAUGGAUAGGGAAAAAAUUAAGGCUGAGAUAGCGUGGUGGGAAAGUCUCCCGCUCUUGCAAUUUAAGGAUGUCAUUUCUUCCUAGACAAUAAAAUAUACAAUUUACGUUGUCUGAUUUGUAAAAUGGAUAGGGAAAAAUUAAAGCUGAGAUGUAGCGGGAAAUAUCCCGCUCUUGCAAUUUAAGGAUGUCAUUUCUUCUCAGACAACAAAAUAUGCAAUUUAUGUUGUCUGAUUUGUAAAAUAAAUAGGAAAAAAAUUAAAGUUGAGAUGUAGCAGCGGGAGAUCUCCCACUCUUGCAAUUUAAGAAUGUCAUUCUCAGACAAUUAAAAUUUGGAGUUCUGUUGUAUGAUUUGGGAAACACUUAAUUAACUCAAAACCUAAAGCACUUGACACUUACAUAAAAAAUAAAAACCUAUCGCUUAAAACCUCUCUCUCACACACACACUCACACUCAAAACCGCUCAUUUUGUCGAGAGAGAAAGAGAGAGUUCGAGAGAGAAAAGGGCAGAGGAGCCGCUCCCCUUCUAGGCGUGCCUCCGCCGUUGGCCGAUCGGAGACCAUCACUCAACUCUCCUCUCUCUCUCCUCUACCUCCCCACACCCACAAAAUCGACAUCCAACCAUCCCCUUUCUCAAAUCGAAAAUCCAAACCCUAACCCCAAUUCUGAUUUCUGGCCAAAUCCUCUCUUUUCUGGCGAGCUCAAGCUUCUAAAAGGGAAACUGAUAUCUUUUCUUUCAAUUUCGAGCUCCCUUGAGCUUUGUUUUUCCGUUUGGGACCUAAUCCCUCUUGUCUUCUUCUUUUCUGGGUUCGUCUGCAACGUCGCCGUUGACGACUCUCCAGCCUUGCAUUCGAUUCUUCAAGGUAAUCCUUUCCUUCUCUCUCCAAUUCCAAUUUAGAUUGGGUAUCAUAUAGUGCACACCACAUGUUUGAUAGAAUGCCUCAUAGACACAACAAAGCUGAAGCAGUGGGCUUUUCCAUGAUUUUCGAAAAGUCUAUACUUCUUUGUUCAAUCUCAGUUUUUAACAGUUGAAAAUAGACUCUUCAAUGAUCGUUUUAAACUUGGUUUCAAGUAAAACGGAGUUGAUUUGAGAAACUUGUGCUAUUUUAAAAGUUCAUACAAUGUUUCAGAAUUUUCUGCAUAAACUGCAUUUUCAGUCACUUUGGGUCUCUAUUUGACCAUGUAUUUGAACUCCAAACGACUUAAAAUUUUGGGACAUUGUAGUUUUGCUUGUCUACUUUGAUUCUGGAGAUUUUCAGCUGAAAGUAUUAAAAAUUCCAUUGUUAAUGAAUUUUUCCCUCCUACUAUCUGUUAUUAGGAAAUUUCGCAAAUUGCAGCCUAGUGUUACAAAACAAUUGACUAUUAAUGUGUUCAAGAUUUUUGUUGGGAUGUACUUUUGACUAUUAGCUAGUAUUGGUAGGUUCUUUAGAAUGCUUGGAUCAGAAAUAGAGCAAUGAUCACAUAGUGCACACCACAUGUUUGAUAGAAUGCCUCACAGACACAACAAAACUGAAGCAGUGGGCUUUUCCAUGAUUUCCGAAAAGUCUAUACUUCUUUGUUCAAUCUCAGUUUUUAACAGUUGAAAAUAGACUCUUCAAUGAUCGUUUUAAACUUGGUUUCAAGCAAAACGGAGUUGAUUUGAGAAACUUGUGCUAUUUUAAAAAUUCAUACAGUGUUUCAGAAUUUUCUGCAGAAACUGCAUUUUCAGUCACUUUGGGUCUCUAUUUGACCAUGUAUUUGAACUCCAAACGACUUAAAAUUUUGGGACAUUGUAGUUUUGCUUGUCUACUUUGAUUCUGGAGAUUUUCAGCUGAAAGUAUUAAAAAGUCCAUUGUUAAUGAAUUUUUCUCUCCUACUAUCUGUUAUUAGGAAAUUUCACAAAUUGCAGCUUAGUGUUACAAAACAAUUGACUAUUAAUGUGUUCAAGAUUUUUGUUGGGAUGCACUUUUGACUAUUAGCUAGUAUUGGUAGGUUCUUUAGAAUGCUUGGAUCAGAAAUAGAGUAAUGAUCACAUAGUGCACACCACAUGUUUGAUAAUAUGUCUCAAAGACACCACCAAGCUGAAACCAGUGGGCUUUUCCAAGAUUUUCGAAAAGCUUAUACUUUUUCUUUUCAUCUCAGUUUUUAACAGUUAAAAAUAGACUCUUCAAUGAUCGUUUUAAACUUGGUUUCAAGCAAAACGGAGUUGAUUUGAGAAACUUGUGCUAUUUUGAAGUUCACAUAGUGUUUUAGAGUCUUAGUAAAGUUUACUGCAUUUUCAGUCACUUUGGAUCCCUAUUUGACUAUGCAUUUGAACUCCAAACGGCUUAUAAUUUUGGGACAUUGUUCCUUUGUUUGUCUGUUUUGAUUCUGAAAAUUUUCCCAUGAAAAUAUUGAAAGGUCAAUUGUUGGUGAAUUUUUCUUUCUUACUACCUGUUUUCUGAAAAUUUCUCAGAUUUGCAGCUCAUUGUUAUAAAACAAUGGAUUUGGGAUCCUUUACAUUCUUAUUUUUGUCAUUGAAAUUUAACAAGUUUAUCUAUGCAUAAAUCCUGUACUUUCAGUUCUAAAAGGGCAUGAAGGUUUCAUUCUUGACAAGCAUCACUUUUGCAUGUUCUUAUCAAUACUUCUUUUUUUUUUUUGAAAGAAAGUCAUUGAUGUAGGACGGAUGGCCGAAGAAAUCGAGGAACAAAUUGAUCGUUGCAGGUCCAAACCCAGUUUGCUGCAGAUUUGGCGUUCGGUGUCCGAAUGACUAUUAUUAUACCUUUCUGGAAGCGGAACUGCCCAACGAAUAAGACUCGCCGUUUCGUCACGACGUAUGGGCUUUUUCGGCCAUCCGAGUUUGUUUCGGACCUUAAAUCAGCGUUUUAUUAGUUUUUGGGAUUUUAUGUUUCCUAGUUCUUUUCGGAUUGUGUUUUGAUUCAAUCCUUGGGCUUUUAGGUUUGGUUGUUAGUCGCCCUAGGGUUUUGUUUUCCAUAUAUAAGCACCCUUUUGGGUAGCUGAGAGGCAGUUUAUUAAUUAUAAUUCAGAAUUUAAGAGUUUUACUCUUAGUCCUUGGCGCGCUCCAGGUUUUGGUCCUAUAGAGUUCUUCGCUUGAAGACUCUCCACAUAUUAGGGUUUAACGCUGGUUAGCCCCCAUACUCCUGCUGCGUCAAGUGGUAUCAGAGCCAGACGUUCCUGUCUCUUUUAUCCUUGAUCAUGGGUGACGCACCGAUUACUAGAGCAGACCGAGAAGGUAUCCUAGAAGGUGUUACUGCGAAUUUUACCGUAGCCCUUGCUACGUUGACUAAUCAGGUGAACGAAUUGAAGACUGAUAAUAACAAUAGGAAGCGUGGAGAAGGCAGAGCUAUUCCUCAACAUAGGGUUCCACGAGGGAGAGGAACCACAAUUGCUAGCAGCUCUGAGUCUGAUUCAGAAGAUGAAGUUGUUGAUCUGGCGCAAUUAGGGCAAGAUGAUAAGGAUUUCAGGAUGAAGGUUGAUAUCCCUUUCUUUAAUGGGAUGAUGAACGUGGAGGAAUUUCUGGAUUGGCAAAUUGAAGUGGACAGAUUCAUAGAGCAUAUGAAUGUCGCGGAACAUAAGCAAGUGAAGUUGGCGGCAGCUCGUCUCAAGAGCACUGCGGCAGUUUGGUGGGAUAAGUUGGCAUUGACGAGAUUGAGACAGAGAAAAAAACCCGUCAAGAAUUGGCGGAGGAUGAAACAGUUGAUGACAGAACGAUUCCUGCCAGAGGACUAUGAACAGAUUCUUUACAGGAUGUACCUAGAUUGUGUUCAAGGGGCGAAGACUGUAACAGAGUAUACCGUUGAGUUUGUGCGUCUUUCUGAGCGCAAUGACUUAGGCGAAUCUGAAGGGCAGAAGGUUGCUCGGUACAUCAGUGGGUUGAGACCUUCCAUACAAGAGAAGAUUGGCUUACAAACUAUGUGGUCUAUGACUGAGGCUGCAAGUUUGGCGAUAAAGGCGGAGCUGAUGGAGAGAUCCCCUAGAGUUUCUUUUCAGUUUCCAAGAUUCACUAGUCAGAGGAGUACUAAAGUCGGGAGUUCUGUUGGAGAUAAAGGGAAAACAAUGACGCAGAAUACGAGUGGAAUGACCACUAGGGCUUCUAGUGCUGUUAACAAAGAGGGUGGCGUUUCUGGUUUUGGCAGUACUAGCAGGGCAACUCGGGCAGCACCUGUGCAGCGACCUUUUAACCCUUAUACAAGGCCUUUCCCAGGUACUUGUUAUAGGUGUUUACAGCCUGGUCAUAGAUCCAACGAGUGUACUGCCCCUCCGAAGGUGGUUAAAGCAGUUCAGGCUUUAGUCGAGGCCUGUGAGGGGGAAGACGAGGCGGAGGAAGGAGGCGAUGACUAUGAAGGGGCUGAAUUUGCAGUGGAAGAUUCUCCAGAAAAGGUGAACAUUGUAUUGCAGAGAAUUCUGUUGUCUCCCAGGAAGGAGGACGGUCAAUGUAAGAACCUUUUCAGAUCGCAUUGUUCUGUCAACAACAAGGUGUGUAAUUUGAUUGUGGAUAAUGGGAGUUGUCGAAAACUUUGUUGCUGAAAAGUUAGGUAGAGUAUUUGCAGUUGCCAAAAGAGGCCCAUGUGAUGCCCUAUUCUCUGGGUUGGGUGAAGAAAGGUCCUCAAGUGCGUGUAACCAGAACCUGUAAAGUGUCUGUUUCGAUUGGUAAGCAUUAUAGGGAUGAAGUAGUUUGUGAUGUUCUGGACAUGGAUGCUUGUCAUAUUCUGUUUGGGCGCCCUUGGCAGUAUGAUGUUGAUGUUACUUACAGGGGUCGGGAUAAUGUGAUGUUGUUUAUGUGGGGUGAAUUUAAGAUUGCUAUGGCUCCUGUGGUGAACUUUGUCAAACCUGUAGAAAAGAAGAGGGAGAAUUUUCUAAUCUUGUCCAAGAAUGAACGAGAGAUAGAGGAAGACUUUAAGGAGUCAGAGUUGUGUUGUCCUGUGGUGAUUAAGGGGUUGUUUAGUGCAGAAAAAGAACCUGUGGAGAUCCCUGAAGAAGUACAACAGUUGCUUAAGGGAUUUGAGGAGUUGAUUUCUGAUGAGCUCCGAGAUAAAACUAUUGCCAGCUUGGAGAAACGGUAUUUUUGGCCCCAUUUGAGGAGGGAUGCCACGGCAAUUGUCCGGAAGUGCUAUGUUUGUCAGGUUUCUAAAGGUCAGUCUCAAAAUACUGGUCUUUAUACACCUUUACCUGUUCCUGAAGACAUUUGGCAGGAUCUUUCAAUGGAUUUUGUGCUGGGUUUGCCGCGUACACAGAGGGGAGCGGAUUCUGUAUUUGUGGUUGUUGACAGGUUUUCUAAGAUGUCGCACUUCAUUGCUUGUAAGAAGACCUCGGAUGCUACCCACAUAGCCAAGCUAUUUUUCAGGGAGGUCGUGCGUUUGCAUGGGGUUCCACGAUCUAUCACUUCUAACAGAGAUUCGAAAUUCCUUAGUCAUUUCUGGAUCACUUUGUGGCGGAUGUUUGGGACAGCUUUGAACAAGAGUAGCACUGCGCAUCCUCAGACUGAUGGGCAGACUGAGCUUACCAACCGAACUCUAGGUAAUAUGGUCAGGAGUGUAUGUGGAGACAAACUAAAAAGUUGGGAUAAUGCUUUGCCACAGGUGGAGUUUGCUUACAAUAGUGCUGUGCAUAGUGCUACUGGAAAAUCAUCUUUUUCAUUGGUGUAUACUGCUGUUCCAAAACAUGUGGUGGAUUUAGUCAAGCUGCCACGGGGUCAUGGUGUUAGUGUUGCUGUUGAAAAUAUGGCCAAGGAAGUGCAAAAAGUUCGUGAGUCAGUUAGGGCUAAACUGGAAGCCACUAAUGCAAAGAAUAAGGCUGCAGCUGACAAGCAUCGCCGGGUUAAGUUAUUCAAGGAAGGUGAUGACGUUAUGGUGUUUUUGCGGAAGGAGAGGUUUCCUGUUGGUACCUACAAUUAGCUGCAACCCAAGAAGUAUGGUCCUUUCAAGGUUCUACGGAAGAUCAAUGACAAUGCUUAUGUUGUUGCACUUCCUAAUUCUAUGUCCAUUUCCAAUACCUUUAAUGUGGCUGAUAUUUAUGAAUACCAUGCGGAUGAGGCUCUUUAUCCUGUUGAGAACUCGGGGUCGAGUUCUUCGGAGGUGGAGGAGACUGAUGUAGGACGGAUGGCCGAAGAAAUUGAGGAACAAAUUGAUCGUUGCAGGUCCAAACCCGGUUUGCUACAGAUUUGGCGUUUGGUGUCCGAAUGACUAUUAUUAUACCUUUCUGGAAGUGGAACGGCCCAACGAACAAGACUAGUCGCUUUGCCAUGACGUAUGGGCUUUUUCGGCCAUCCGAGUUUGUUUCGGACCUCAAAUCAGCGUUUUAUUAGUUUUUGGGAUUUUAUGUUUCCUAGUUCUUUUCGGAUUGUGUUUUGAUUCAAUCCUUGGGCUUUUAGGUUUGGUUGUUAGUCGCCCUAGGGUUUUGUUUUCCAUAUAUAAGCACCCUUUUGGGUAGCUGAGAGGCAGUUUAUCAAUUAUAAUUCAGAAUUUAAGAGUUUUACUCUUAGUCCCUGGCGUGCUCCAGGUUUUGAUCCUAUAGAGUUCUUCGCUUGAAGACUCUCCACAUAUUAGGGUUUAACGCUGAUUAGCCCCCAUACUCCUGCUGCGUCAGUCAUACCAAUUGAAGGUUAGUUUAGUUAAUGUAUCAUUUUCCUAAGUGUCGAUUGAUAUUGUCUUAUACUAUUGUUAAAUUUGAAGGUACUAUCACCCUUAUUUUGCAUGACUACAUAUGCUGCUCUUAGGCUGAUCGAUCCUUGCAACAGAAAGAGAGUUUGAUAUCGCAUCGUUUAAGAGAAUUGAUAGUAAGGUUUUAAAACUUUUAUCCCUAGGUUGUUUUGUAGCUCCAUUUCUUCUUUACCUUGUACAACAAGUGAUAAUUUCCUUGGGUAUGAUAGAUAAAUGUGCUUGUAGCUCCAUUUCUCUUAGAUCCAUGAUUCAUGUGCUUGUGAUGUUUAAGUGUUUAAUACAACAAUCAAUAAUGCAUUGAUGUGUGUGUAUAUAUAUGUUGAGAGACUGUGAUCAAAUCUCGGUUGGUUUCUUUAUCAAUACAUUGUUUUCAUUCUUUACUAGACAUGUUUUCUUCUUUGAAUCUCUAGUCUAUGAGGGUGUGCAUUUGAAUAUUUCAGGCAAAGUAAUUUGUCAACCAAAGCUAUUCUUUUUUGAAUUGCCAAAAGCUAUUCUUUUUAAGAUAGAAACUACAUUUUGAAGUGAAGAAAAAUACUGCAGAAUUUCCUGAGAAGAAACUGCAAACUUUAUUCUCUUUUACCCUAUUUCCAGGUCUUCAAAUCUUCUGAAAAUUUGACAGAUUUAUUUUCGGAUAGCUAACUAAUGAUCUGGAAAGUUUCAGCUUAUUUCCUAUAAAAUUGAUUACUCGGUGAUUUCUCAAAGUUCAGUUUGCACUUGGUAAUAUUUCCAGAAUUUUAAGUGCACCUUUGUGUUUUCUACUCAGUUUCAAACUCUCAUUGGAACCAUUUAACCUUGGUUAACUUUGUUGAGCUUCCACAUACUUGUCAAGUGCAACAUUUUAUGUAGAGUUGUAAGAGGUGCUUUAGAAAUGGUGAGUUUUUGUAAUUAGUGCUCUUUUUCGAAAUGUUCACAUAUAAAAAUUUCUGUGUUGAGCUUUUAUUAUUGAUAAGUGGUUGUAUGUCUGACUCUGUAUUAAAAGAAAUGAAUCUUUGCACUUGUAAGUAGCACACUGAUUAUUUUGACUUCAAUUUGGAUUUCAACUCUCAACCUUGGUCUUUAAAUAAUAACAUUAAAUCUGUAGCCUGCAUUAGAAAACUAUUGGUGCAUGAGUGAUGGAAUUGAACUUGAAAUUUUGGUUAAACAACCAUGCCAUGUAUGACUUAACUCGAUGGUAAGCUUUUGAAAUACUAAUUCUUCAAUGCAAUCGAUAGAUGGUGUUGCCCCAAUGGUGUAAAUGAAUAGAUAACAGCCGUCUUUUUGAAGCAUAUAUGUAGAAUUGUAGUAGCAGAGCUGUUAAAGGUGAGCCAUGUAUACUUUGGUGAUGAGUUUCAUAAGGAAUAUACAAUUGGUAGUAUAGGUACUGAAAUAUACAACAGAUUAGUCUUAAAUAUUAUUAUGCUCAUUAUCUUGUAAUUUUUGUAGGUGAAAGGGAUUAGAUAUAAUUUGCUGCACUUAGGCUGAGCUCUGUGUCAUUCUUUGAAUCUGUUAAAUCAGAAACUGCAGUUUCCAUGUGGGCAAGGGCUACGACUAGAGCUGCAAAGGUGAUAAUAAUUUCCAUAUCAGCAGCUAAGGUUCACUUGGCUUUGACAUGAUAUUAUUUCAAUACCAUUAUAAUUAGCGGGAGUAUUUCUAUGCAUAUAUGAUGUUAAUGCUUCACUAAGUGUAAAAUGUGGUACAAAUAGAUUAGUUCAUAUAGUUCCAAAGAGAAUACAUUUAAACUAUAUUAACUGCAGAAGUUAUAUAUAAGAAGUUAUAUAUAAGAAGUAAAUGAUAUUAGUUAUCUCAGCAAAAAGUAGAUCAUAUAGCAAUUUUGCCAAUUUUAUGAUGAUAUCCCUCACAACACCAUUCUUCCCUUUUAAUACUUUGGUUUACUUUGCUGAAAGAAGCCAUAUAAUCUUAAAUGGCACAUAGAUACCUUAUGCCUCUAGGGGCUUGAUUGGAUAUGUAUAUAUCAAUUUUUGUUCUUUGUUUACUUUAGUGGGACAAAAGAGGCAGCUGCAAAUACACUCAAGAAGAUUUGGAUGAGGUGAGAAAGGAGUGGGCAGACUUUGCUGUCAAGAAGUAUGUGAAGGAGCCGUGAUUGAGGUAGCAUCCUCUUGUUCAAAGAAAAACAUCUUUUUUGUGCUUCUCAGCUGGUACAAUAUUCAUGCAUGAUAUGUAGCAUGUUUUUGGUACAAUUGAUACUAUGUAUCAGCUAGCUUUUGAUGUCCCUAGUUGAUGGGCAUGUAUUUGAAUGCUUUUCUUAUUUUUAAUGGUUGUUAGGAUGAUGGGCAUAUGUUUUAGAUGUCACAUUAAUGUUAACAAUGCAUCGGAUGUUUUAUAUCAUAUUUUGGUUGUUUGAAUGUUUUGGAUGGUUUGGAAAUAUACUUGUAAUACUGUUCAUUAGGUAAAUUUGGUAUUAGGACAUCAAUAGAGCACAUCAUACAACUAAAUGAUGAUAAUCUAACGUUGUAUGAAAUGCAUCAUCAUACAACAAGUUAAUGACAAUCCAACGUUGUCUGACUAAAUGAUCCUACAACCAUAUUCUAACAUUGAUACGUUGUGUGAGUAUUGAUCACACAAUGCCUAUUAGCAAAAACUCUGUGUACUAUUUAACAAUCAGAAAACUAUGAAACCUAAAAACUCGUUGUAUGAAGAUAACUUCACACAAUAGUUUACAGCAAGAAACUAUUGUGUGAGUGUCGACAGAUGUUGCAAACUGCAAUGCGGAAUGAUCUCGACAUAUGUCGAUAAAAUCUAUCGAUAUUCACACAACAACUCUUGAAAGAAAAUAGUUGUGUGAGUUGACGAUCACACAAGGGUUUUUAUUGAAAAAGUUGUUGUGUGAUUCUCGGCGGAUAUCAUCGACAGCUGACGAGAAGCAGCUCGGCAUGUAUCGGCAUCUGUCGAUAAUAUCUGCCGAGAAUCACACAAAAAUAUUCUAAAAAAAACCAAUUGUGUGAUUCUCGGCAUAAUUCAUCAACAUAUGUCGAUAGCUGCCAAGAAGCAGCUCGACAUGUGUCGGCAGCUGUCGAUGAUAUCUGCCGAGAAUCACACAAUAGUUUUUAUUGUAGCGUUGUGUGUCAGUUAGUCAGACAAGCUCUUUUUAGCCGUUGUGUGACAUGUUGAUCAGACAGCGAUCGGAUUAACAACGGAUUUGACCUUUAACAGACGACAUUUUUUCCCCGUCGUGUGAUGCAUUAUCUGGCGUAGUGAAUGUACUUUAGUGCUAUAGAAUUAGAAUGAUGAAUGGGGAGUAACUUAAUUAGUUGUUUUGAACUAGAAUGCAAAAUGCAAAGAAGAGCAAAUUGUCGAUCCAGCUAUCCAGAGGUAAGAAGCAAUGUUUGGUCCGCUAUCUAGCUACCAUCUAUAAUGGUCUCGAGAGCACUACCUUUUAUAAUCAAAACUCUUGGCAAUUUGGCAUGCGAGAUUAUCUUAUCUGGAGUAUCCAAAUUUAUGUAGCAUUUUAGCUCAUUAAGAUCCAUGUUUGACAAAUAAGAUUCAUGUUAUUGCAAAAUUAACUUAAUUUCUCAUGAAAAAGGUGUCUAUCCAUUGAUUAUAGAGAGGUAGCUAGAGAAAAUGCAGUUGAGAUGUUAGAGUUUCUAUUUUCUUUUUGAGAAAAGAGAUGUUAGAGUUUCUUGGUCAUCAACGUUUUGUCAAAUGUUAUCGUUUUCAAUAGUUUUUUUUUUCUUUCUAGAACGUUUGAAAAUGUAGGAAAUAAUCUCUUAGGUGUGUUGCCUUUUGAUGCGUGUUUUGAUGUGUCUGCUUAAGGCCAGUGUGGCGGACUGUGUCUCUUUUGGAAAUCCAUAAAUAUUAAUAUAAAUGUUAUCUUUGCCAAUGCUCGUUUUAUACAUUGCAAGAUUAGUGAUCUGAGUAAUGAUACUUGCUGGUAUACUACUUUUGUUUAUGCUUAUCCCCAAAAGAAUUUGCAAUUCAAUCUUUGGAAUGAAAUUUCUAAUUACAAGCCUGUGAAUGAUGAUCCUUGGUUUCUCAUGGGAGACUUUAACAUUAUUCUCCAUCCCUCGGAAAAGUUGGGGGGUUUAAGUAGAACUACUAGAUACAUGGUAGAUUUUGGAACUUUUUUGAACAAUAUUAAUAUGUGUUCAGUCCCAAGUAAUGGAGUUUCUUUUACUUGGACUAAUAAUCACAGGGAUCACACUGUGAUUUAUGAAAAGUUGGUUAGAGUUUGUGCUAACUGGUUGUUGCAAUUUCCAGAUGUGGAAGUAGAGAACCUUCCCAUUACUGGUUCAGAUCAUGGCCCUAUCUGUGUUUCUUGGAACCAUAGAAGACCUAAAAUGCACAGGUCUUUGAAGUUUGAGGCUAUUUGGUUAUCUCACCCUCUUUUAAAACAAUUGGUUGCAGAUUCUUGGCAUGAAGUUGUGGAUGAUGAUCCUUUGAAAAUUUUUGUUACAGUCUGUGGGAAGUUUGCAACUCUUGCUCAAGUUUGGAAUAAAAAUGUCGUUGGAAAUCUGACACGACCCACCCCGAAUUUCACCCUGAAAUUCGGAGUAAGUCGUGCGGGGACCACCUCCAAGAAAGAUAACAUAAAUCCUCUAACAAAUAUUCUAAGACGUCAACAAGUCUUCACCCACAACCGAAAUAAUAUACAUUAAACCCAAGUAUUCAGAGCUACUAAACACUAGCGGAAAAAGAAACCACAGGUAGGUUAAACAGGUAACCUACAGAUGAAAAGUGGUGGAAAUGCAGGUGACUAUGCCUCGUCUUCUACUAGGUCCAACCCGAAUUCUGCAGACUGGGCAUUUUAAAACGAAGGGCCCAGGGGAAACAUUUGAACACGUUAGAGUGAGUGGACAAAAAUAAAAUAAAUGAAAUAAUUCUUUAUGCUUUCCCAAUUUUACUUUUACAUAGAAAAAUAUGCUGCAUGCGACAGCUCAAAACACUCAACACGAAAACUAGAAAUUUCAUGACUAGCUCCGGCCAGUCUCCAACGCUCAAUAAAAUACAGCCUCUCAGGCUAAAAUAAAAUAUGUAUGUAUUACACUCGUCAUAUCCCUUGUAUGAAUUUUCUUGAAACAACAAAAACAAAUAGAAAAUUCACACAAGGCAACGACUCUUGCGUCUAACGCUCACGUCGCACCAUAAUGACAUUUUACCUCAUUAUGGUGGAAAAGACGGUGUAUAAAUAUACGCGCAUAUCCCCUAUGUAAAUUCUCAAUUUCGGUUAUUCUCCAACAACAUAAAUUAUUUCGCAUGCACAUUAUUUAAAGCAGAAGUCCACUCACAAAUUAGGCCUAAGCCUGAUGUCGAUCUGGGGUCUCGUCUGCUCGAGCCUCCUCACGUCCUGUUCCAAAUAUAAUAUUAAGUUCCCAGCCGAAAUUCCAAUAUUUACACAAAAUAGGCAGAAAUUAACCGAGAGCCAUAAACACACUCAUCAUUGCCUAACUUCGAUAUUCUUAAAUCAGAACGAUCCGAACUUAAAUAUCAUCCUCGACAGUCGUAAAUAUAACCUCCCCAAAAAUACGACUUAAAUCUUACGGCUGGAUUCUACAUUAAUUAACCGCCAAAAAUACCAAACUUCGGAAAUUCACAAACCUAUCCAAAUCUCAUCCAAAAUUCCAUAAAUCACCUCAAUAUAAUCCCCUUAAUAUUCCAUAUUUAAAACCCUAAAAAUCUUCCAAACCGGCGGCGGCCGGAGGCCAAAUCCGGCGACCUCCAAUUCCUAUGAAAUUUUAACAGCAUCUUCCUCUCAUCAUGCUCUACAACUUUCCUAACUAACACAAACCCAAAAUCCAAGCUUAGCUAUGCCAAUCGAACAAAAACAUCAAAAACGCCCUAGAGCUUCCACCUCAAAUUUCUUCUUACCUGAAGCAAACCGGAGUGAGUCCUUUUAGGGCAAGGCAGCUGGGUUGAAGACCUACAAAACCAUACCAAGCUUGCCCGGAUUGGUGGCCGGAGGAGGGAGUUCUGGCGAAAAGCUUCCCGGCGUUUCCGGCGGGUUUUCUCCUCUUCCGGCGGGUUAGAGGCUCGAGGGCUAGGCCGGGGAGGGAGAGGAGGAGAUGGGGGUCCGAAGUGGGGUGGAGCGGCGGCCGGUGGCUGGCCGGACGGCGGCAGACAUGGGCUGGGCGAUCCGGCAGGGGAGAAGACUCGGGGGGAAGGAGAAAACGAGAGAGAGGGGGAAGAGAAAAAGAGGGAGAUGGGUUUGGGCCUCUCCAAACCGGUCCAAUACUCAUAUAUCAACCCACUCCAAAAUAAAACACCCCGAAAAAAUAAUACCCGAAUAAAAAUUACCUUUUACUAGCUAAAAUUUACUAUUUUACCGUCGUCGUAUUUUCCUCUUACGAAUAAUCCUCCGCACAUAAUCAUCCCCGAAACCCCUCUAGGGACCAAUUAAACUAUUAACUCAAUGACGAAGACGGUAAAAUUCUUAUUAUAAACCAGCUAGUAAAUAAGGUAAAAAUAUAAGAGUCGGGAUGUGACAAAAUCUUUUUCAGAAGCUUAAUUGUUUGCAUGACCAAUUGACUAUUAUUCAAUCCCAACUAAUUAAUGAUCCUAACUCAGUGGUGUUAUAGGAGAGAAAUAUCUCAAUAAUGGAAGAGCUUCAAAACCUGCAGAGAGAUGAAGAAAUCUUUUGGGCUCAAAAUGCAAAACAGAAUUGGUUAAAGCUUGGGGAUAGAAAUACCAGGUUCUUCCAGAUGAAGGCUAAUCUCAUAAAACAGAGAAAUAACAUUGUCAAGAUAAAGAGUGAUGACAACAGUUGGUUGACUAAAGCUGAUGACAUUAGUAGACAUACUGUAAUGGACUUCUGGAAAACGUUUCUAGGCUACUGUUGCAAUUAAUAAUUCUAAAAUGAAUAAUUUUGUUGAAAUAAUUAAUCCUUGUAGUUCUAUGGUGGAUAAUGAUAUGUUGACUUCUCAGGUUACUGAAGUGGAGAUUCUAGAAGCUUUGCAAUCCAUUGGCCCUCUCAAGGCACCUGGUCCAGAUGGGCUUCAUGCAGCUUUCUUUCAAACAUGUUGGGGUGAGAUUAAACACACUGUUAUUCCAUUGAUCAAUAAUUUUUUUCAAAAUAAUGCUCCUCGCAAGGCUAUUAAUCAUACCAAUAUAGUUUUAAUUCCUAAAGUUGAUGAGCCGGAAGUAGUCGGUCAGUUUAGACCAAUUAGUCUUUGCAAUGUUUCUUAUAAGAUUAUUUCAAAGUUGUUAGUGAAGAGAUUAAGACCUUUACUUGAAAAGUGCAUCUCUAAAAAUCAAGGAGCUUUUGCUCCUAGAAGAUCUAUUCAUGAUAAUAUUCUUAUUGCUCAUGAGCUUUUUUCAGACUUUAAUAGAAAGAAAGGAAGGACUGGUGUUAUGUCUAUCAAGCUAGACUUGGAAAAAGCUUAUGAUUUCCUUAGCUGGGACUAUAUUAAAGCCUGUCUAGGCAAGUUUGGUUUCUCUUCUACUUGGAUUAACUGGAUUAUGGAAUGUAUCACUUCAGUCUCUUUUUCAGUUGUUAUCAACAGGAAGGCGGAAGGUUUCGUUGAGCCUACUAGAGGUAUAAGGCAAGGAGAUCCGUUAUCUCCUUAUAUUUUUAUUUUCUGUAUGGAGCCUCUUAUCAGACAUCUCAAUCGAUUGGCUGAUAAACCUAGUUCUCAUGUGGGUAUUUUAUCUUCUCCAUGUGGUUAUAGAAUUACUAAUCUAAUGUUUGCUGAUGACGUACUGUCUUAUUUUCUGUAAAGCUUCCUCUAGAGCUGCAAGGAAUGUGUUGUCUGUGCUUAAUAAUUUUUCUGAGGCUUCAGGGCAAAAGAUUAAUUUUCAUAAAUCUUCAUUGUAUUUUUCUCCUAAAGUUCCUAAUCAGGUGAGGAAUGAUAUAGUAAUUGUGAUGUAGAUUCAACAUAAGGCCACCAUUGGGAAGUACCUUGGAGUGCAUAAUAUUAUUUUUUGGAAAGAUCCUGAAAAUGCUAAUGAUUUAUUACAGAGAAUCAAUAAGAAGUUAGCAAGUUGGAAAAAAUGUACCCUUUCAAGAGCAGGUAGACUCACUUUACUUCAAGCUAAUGUGUCAGGUAUGCCGAAUCACAUUAUGUCUUGUUUUAAGCGUCCUGCUAAAAUCACCAAUGCAAUUGAUAAAAAGGUCAAGGAUUUCUUCUAGGGAACUGACUUUAAGGGAGCAGCUGUUGCUUGGGGUAAGGUUUGUACCCCCAAAAAUUCUGGAGGGCUAGGCAUUCGACCUUCUAGACAUUUCAAUAAUGUUGCUAUAGCCAAACUUGGCUGGAAAAUAAUCACUCAAAAUGAGAAUUGGUGGGUUAAUAUAGUUAAGGCUAAAUACUUGAGACAUUCUUCUUUUUUCUAGGUGAAGAAGAAAGCUUCUUCUUCUCUAGCUUGGAAAAGAAUUCUGGAUAUGAGAGAGCUUCUUCAAAGAGGAAUCCAAUGGACUGUAGGAAAUGGCUCAGACAUUGCUUUCUGGACGUUCAAUUGGGUACUACAUUUCCCUCUUAUUAAUCUUAUUGAUGAUAUUAGACGUGCUAAUAUUGAUUGGAAUGAGUUUGUGGCUGACUAUAUGUCUAAUAAAAAUUGGAAUAGAGAUAAAUUGCUCACAGUUCUUGACAUGAAUAUUGUUGAUCAGAUUUGUGGUAUACCAAUUCCCAAGAAUAAUCAGGCAGACUCUUUUGUUUGGGGUUUUAGUCCUAAUGGAGAAUUUACAGUUAAAUCUGCGACUUGGAUUCAAAAUAAUGAGACUAAGAGCCAUGAGUUCUCUCCUUUGAUACGGAAAGUUUGGAAAUCAGAUUUGGCUCCGAAAAUCAAAAUUUUUAGUUGGCUUCUUUUAAGAGGAAGGGUAAAAACCAAAAAUAGAUUGCACAGGUUUGGUAUUAACCCAAGUAAUUUAUGUUCUUUGUGCGCACAAGAAGAAGAGACUUUAACUCAUCUAUUUUGCAAGUGUUGCAUCUCAGGCCAAGUUUGGGACCUAGCAAAUUGCAGAGAUAUUUGGAAUUCUGAUAAUCUUUUUCAAACCUUGCAGGGUAUUUCUAUAAAUAGGCCGUUUGAUGCGGCUAAGUUUGGAAAAAUUCUUACUCUUUGUUGGCAGAUUUGGCAGAAGCGUAAUGAUUGUGUCUUCAAAAACAAGAACUUUUCUCCCUAUGCAGCUGUUGCAUGCGCUGCUUCAUUCCAUUGCAACUUUACUCUCUACAUCAAUGUUUCUCCAAGUCUAAGACCAAGUCCCAACAUCAAUAUCAAAUGAAACCCAUCUCCUCCUGGAAGCAUAAAGAUUAAUUUGGAUGGUUUGGUGUUGCAACAAAGUUCUGAUAAUGCUGUUGAUUUCAUUUUGAAAGACGACUCUGGAUGCCCUGUGUUAGCCUCUGCCCAUAAGAUUGGGAAGACAACCAUUCCCAUUGCAGAAGCUAUUGCGCUCAAGGAUAGUCUCCUCACUGCUCUAGAGUUGGGGUUCCAUAAUGUUUUGGUUAAAGGUGACUCCUUGCUGGUUAUCAAUUGUGUUAUUGAAAAGUUCAAGUGCCCUUGGAGACUCAUUCAGCUUAUCCAAGAUAUCAGAAGGCUAGCUAGUUCGUUUCAAAGCAUAUCUUUUCGGCAUGUCUUCAGAGAGGCUAACUUCACGGCCAACGCGCUUGCCAACUUUGGUCACCAAAUUUCAAGUCCUUGUCGUUGGGAGUCAAGCUUUCCUCCGGUUGUAAGGCAGGCCAUUAAUUUUGACCUCUUUAGAGUUGGGUGCUCCCGAGGUUCUGUUUUGUAAUCAGUCUUUUUAGCAUCAAAUUUUCUUCUUCUUCUUCUUUUCAUUUUACUUGUUUUUCUAUAUGUUUUGAAGAAUGUUGGUUUCAUGUUCCUCUUCAAUAUGUUGUAACUGAUGUUUGUUGGUAAAUUAUAUAUUGUCAUUCUAAUAUAAAUUAAAUAUUCAUGCUUAGAGUGGAGAUCAUGACUUAUGCCAUUGUUAUCUAAUAUUAUGUGCAUACUGUAGGUUUGAAUUGAUUCUUUAUUAAUUGAGCAUUUAUGAAUGAAAUAAAUGGAAUCAAUCAUGUAUCAUGCAGCUAGGCUAGUGUGUAGAAUACUCUUUUAGGAGUUGAACUUGAAGGGAACUUGGUACUCCUUGAGGAGUUGUACUUAAGGGGAUCUAGGUACGUACUCUUUGACGAGUUUUUGGAGUUUGUGGUGAGUAAGUCCUAUAUUGUAUAGGACAUCAAAUAUAUCAGAUUCUAUCUAUUUUAGAUGUUGCAUGAGAAAAUGGAGAAAUCUAAGUUGAUUAGGUUUAUAACUAAAAUAUUGCGUUAAAAGGAAGAAAACCUAAGUAGUUUAGGUUUUUAUUCCUUUAUUAGCAUAUUUGAUUGAUUUAGGGAUUGUGUGGUCAAAGACUUCCCUUUAAGAAACUAAAUUGGUUUAUGACGCUAAUGAUGAUGAGAAAUUAUGCAUCGGGAGUUUGAGUCUAUAAAAGAAGACGCAACUGUCUCAUUGAGGUUACCUUUCGCACGUACCAUUCUUGGAGAGAAAAGUUCGCUGCAAAUAAUAUUGAUAGAAAAACAUCGAUGUUCAACUAUUUCGUGUUAAAUUAAAUUUAUUGUUUAUGUGAUUGAGAUUCUCUCUGGGUCAGUAGAGAAUUAUUGAAAGAUCAAGAACUAGGCUAGUUCCUUGAAGAUUGAAAGAGAAAAUUGUUUGAAAAAGAAAAGUAGUUCAAACAUAUUAGUUAGGGUUCUAGUGAUUGUAGUCGCGGCUAGUGUUACAUUGUUUGUAACAAGACUUGUUUUUUGUUCAUAGUAAAUUUCUUUUUCAUUAGAGGCUUUCAGGAGUUAAAGUCUCAGUAGUGGUUUUCCUCAAAUUGAGGUUUUACUGGGUAAAGACUUUUGUUAUUUAUUUUAUCGUUGCUGAUAGAUAGUACACGCAGGAUUGAAACAAUUGUUGCAAUCUCAGACACCCACAAAACGUCUUUCCAAGUCUUUACAAUUGGUACCAUAGUAGUAUCUAAAGAUUUUCUUAGUAUAUCCGUGGUCAGGGAAGCAGCUAUUGGUUUAGUUAAUUAUUUUUUUAUGUCUAAUAAUACAUUGGUAAGUCAUAUCGAGACUUUUGAGGUAAAAAUCUCAUUCUUCUUCUACUGUCGAUAAGAAAGCUUAUGUUCAUAAGGAUGAGUUUGCACGAUUAAUUAAAAAAUUUGAGAUGUUUCUAAAAAAGAGAAAGUCUUUCGAUAAGUUCUCAAAUUAUUUAUAUGUUGAAAAAUCUAGGUGUUAUGAUUGUUGUGCUUUUAACCAUUGUUUGUCCAAGUGUCAUAACAUGUGUCUUGGAUCAGAAACAAUGAUGAAUCGAUAUCUCUAAAUCAGCGACAACAUAAUCUCUCAAUUCCUUUAAUGACUGCACCAAAAAAACGUGUAACGUUUACUGGGGAGCAAGUUUCAAUCCAUGAACACACUGAUUUUAAGCAUAAAUUUGUCUUUGUAAAAGUUAUUUUUCUGCUUGUGUUGAUGAUUGUUGUAAGACAUAUAUCUCUCUUUGUUUUCCUUCAUCUUACAAUCCAAGUCAGACUUUUAAACAUGUUGAAGCCACAUGUCUUGUAUCAUCAACUGAUCUAUCUAAUAUGUGAAGUGAUGCACAAUAUAUCGACAGUGGCUACUUAAGGCACAAACUAGAAGUAAGAGUUGGUUUGUAUCAUCCAAAGUUAUGGAUGAUCUUCUUGAGCUUUGACAUAGGCAAUUGGGUCAUGUUAACUUCCAGGAUUUAUUGAAACUCUCACGCACGAAUAGUGUAAGAGGAAUGUCUUCCUUAAGUGGGAAACAUGAUGGGAUGUGUAAAAGCUACGACAUAUGUGAGCAAACUCAAGUAGUUCAUAGUGUAACCAACUCAAGAUGACCUCUCAUCUUUUGGAGCUCUUACACAUGGACUUGCUUGGACCUUCUCACACCAAAAGCAUUGGUGGUAACAAGUAUAUUUUGGUGGUUGUUGAUACUUUCUUUCUUUUCACAUGGGUUUAUAUUUUCUAAGAGAAAAAUAUGAUGCUUUUGAAAAUUUUAGAAGUCUGUUCAAAUUAGUUUCGAAAGAAAAACAUGCUUUGAAUGAAUCUAGUGUCAAGUAGAGAACUAAUAAUCUAGUGUCAAGUAGAGAACUAAUACUGAUAUGGAGUUUCAAAAUCCUCUUUUUCUAAUUUCUUCCUUGAGCAUGAUAUCUCACAUGAGUGUUAAGACCCAUUAGUGGAUUUGAGGAUUGCAAAUAUAAUGUUUUUCUUGAUAUGAGAAGAGUUAUGUUUCACUUUGUGGGUUUAGAUAGUAGUAAAACUCCAUAUGAUAAAGUUGUGGAAAGGUAAGAGGCCCAAUGUUAGUCACAUUCGUGUCUUUGGAAGUCGUUAUUAUAUAUUCAAAGACAAAGAGUAUUGUGAUAUACUAGUAAAUACAAACUUAUGAGACUUUUCUCAUCAAUUUUGGCAUUUUAUACAAGUAAUAUAGAGGAUGAUGCGAUAUUAGUCCCUUAUUUACAUUUUUUAUUCGAGGCAAUACUCUCUCUUAAAAGGGAGAGGACCACUCGAGAAAUCACGACCACUAUCUUUUUCAUAUAAAUUUAUUAAGACAAACAAAAAUAAAUACACGAUGGGAGAAGAGGACAGCAACCAAAACUUAUGCCUAACAAACAAUUAAUUAAUAUAUAACAAAAUAAGAAAAAGAUAACAAUGAGGAUGCUCCAAGUACUGCAAAUUGACUUUGAGAGGUGAAACUUGGGUCUCCCGACACAUCGGCGAGUUUUGUGCUCCCAUACCAAAUACUGGCAGGGCUACGGUGACUAGGGCUUAGAGAGGCGAAAAUUUCUUAAGCAACGAUGUCGUGAUCUCGAUCAAGAUGAUUUGAAGACUCCAGUCACGAUGGCUUUUGGCUGAGGCGACUAGGAGGAUUGCCUUUUUAGGGAGUGCAUCAACAUCAUACAUAGGUGCUCAGUAUAUGAGAACUUGGUGUAGAUCAGGUUAAAACAAAGGCUGGCUAGUGCCGACUGAGGUAGAGAUUUUGAUACUGUUGUUGGAGUUGGAGCAUUUCUGUCAGAUAUGUCUCCGAUCAGGCUAGAUUGGCCGCAGAAAGAAAAAACAAUGAUGGUUGGAUCGGGAUCGAUAAAUUAGUCAAUUGUGGUCAAUAAGAGUAAUAUGACAUCUACGAAGGUUAAUUGAGUUGGCGAGCACACAUUAUUCUGGUCGGUUCGUCAGAGAUGGGAAGUUGAUCGUUGGGUUGCGGCACCGGAGGAAACGAUGGCGUCUUCGCCAAGUCAAAGCAUAGGAAAAUCCUGAUCAGAGGCCUAGAGGCGGCUUCAUUGGGCCUGGUUUUGGGCUCACAUUAGAUCAUACUUGGCUUUUGAUCACUAGACUUGGGCUCAUAUCCAUAGUAGGAAGUUAUCUCUAUGGAUAUAUAACACUAAUGCCUAGGGAAAAAGAAAAACGUAGAGCCCAUUUACAUUGUCUGAGCAUUAGACAUAAAUUAUUUACUUGAUUUUUAGUUUAUUAUGUGUGCACCAACUGACCAACUGAGGUUUUAACCAGCUACUUGAAUUAUUAUUUCCCAGAAGUUGGUAACAAGGUUUCACUUUAAUUGUUUGCAGACUCAUUUAUGAGCCUAUAUGUAAACUAUGAAGGUCAUGAUCAUGGUUUUUGUUAACUUUUGCUCAACAUAUUUUGUGGAGAACGGCAUAUGUUAUAAUGUGUCGGUGAGCCGUGGCCUGGUUGGUUAAGGUGGUUAACUAACAACUUUGACGUCAUGGGUUCAAACCUCAUUGACAUAUGUAGGGUGUGUGAGUUAUUUAAUAAAAAGUUAAAAAACAAAAAAAAUGUCUUCUUACCGUUGUUUAAGUAAUACAUAUAUUAUUGUUAUGAAUAAAAUAAAAUGUAAAUUAAUCAUGCUCCUAAAAUUUCACACAAAUUUAAUUACUUCUUUGAUUUUUCAUUACAGGCUAGUUUUAACACCAACUUUUCAAUAAAAAUUAAAAAAAUCAUAAAAAAGAGCACAUAGUUGCUAAAACACACAAUAAUAAGCUUUUCGUUGUAAUUUUCCUUUUCUUCUCAAAAAAAACACACAAUAAUAAAUUAUUUUUAAUUUGGCCAUAUUUUUUUCUUGAAGCAGCGGAUAAAUCCAUUGAUAUAAUCAUGUGACCAGUACAAGUUCAAGCUAGAGUCGUCUGUAGUCAAACUCAAUACAAUUUGCUGCGCAUUGACAUGCCUACAACCCUAAGAAAAUAAAAAAACCAACUAAAAACAAAUGCAGGAGGGAAAUCUCUACGUGUCCAAGAAUAGACUUAAUGGAUCCUAAGAAAGCAUUGUAACCUACACAAACACUACAAGAUACUCUAUCAAAUUAAUUUGAGGCCUAAGACUCUUCAUGGUGUACCUUUCCAUCAAAAAGAAGCGCAAUACUAAUUGAUUGUGUUUGUGCAAGGCUCUACUCGAUCCUAGAUGAGGAUCACUCCUUCUCCGCUACACGAUUGAGGCUAAGUUCUUCCACCACCGAGCCGGAAAUAGAAGCCAUUGAGUCUGAUGUCUCUCCCUAAAUUUUCUUCUUUUUGCUACUUCCACGAGGACACCCUCUCUUCUUAGGAGAUUCGCCUAUUUUGGCAAUCCCAAAACCACCAUUAGAGAGAGAGAAACAAAGGUCCUCUGGAUUGAGUGGUAAAGGAACCACUGCUAGGGCAUGGUUGGAUGAUUCAUCCUAAUCAUCACUAUCUUCGCGCCUUUGACGAACACCAGCCACCUUGGUUGGAGACGGGAAUGCGAAAACCUCCUGGAUUUGGACAUACAAUACGCUUCUCUUUUGGAAACACAAAGGUCAAAGCAGGCAUAGGAGGUGCAAUUAGGGUUUGUUGGGUGUUUGCCCUAAACAUCAUUGGUGAAAUUGUUGUAGGUGCAGUCGAGGUGCGCAGUCACCCAUUCUGAAGUCUCCUCAUUCUCACGAGGGCUGGCCUUCCCACCAUGAUUGAUCAUCAUACAAAUCUGACAACGCCCAAGAAGACUUUCAUAACAGUGUGGAUCAAGAUGACGUCCUUAGGCAAAACCCUAAUUCGUCACUCCAGUCGCACCGGUUGAUGCAAAGGCAGCGUGAGGCGGACAAAGCCACCAUUAUCAAUCUGCAGAUUUGGUCCUACAAUUUCAACGACUACGCACGCCAUCGCAGCAGUCUUUAGGGCUGCUGGAAGAUUAUGAAUUUCAACCCAAUUCUACACAGCAAAGUCCAGAGGCACGACCAUGAUGUCAGCAUCAUAAUCGUUUAGAAGGAUCGUUGCCCGUUGGUAGCCCUAAGGAUCUCCACGCUUGACUCGGUUGACAUCCAUUUCAUUGGUGAAGUUGAAUAGAAACCGAUCUCCACGUAGAGUAAUUAUUCCAUGUACCCGGAACACCACGUGGCAUUGCCAUGUGGAGUUCCUAACCAAUCGUAUAACUCGGAAUCAUGUGGGGACCAACAAGGGAUGAAAAAAAAAGUAAAAGUAAAAACCAAUCAUAAAUAAGAGAAGAACACUUGGACAAACAGCAUCAAAGGGGACCAAAUGUCAUGUGGUGUUCCGGAUACAAAUAACAAUUUCCCCCUCCACGUACCUGAACUUCCACAGGUGUCUAGAGCCUCCACAUAGAGCGAACAACGCUCCUGAAUGAAUAAAAGAUCACUGCUCUUGCAGUGUUGAGACGUCCGACAACAAGAUAAAAUCGUGGAGCCACAAAGCCAAAUAUAGGGCAUCAAAUGUUUCCCAGAUCCACUGGUUUGUCGCGGUUGCUAAGAGAAAGCUUAGAGAUGAGUCGUGUUGUCUUGGAUGCAGCAGAAGUCUUCAUGAUUGCUAUGGAUGUCGAGAGGAUGCUGCUCGACUUGAGAAUAAAACCCUAACCCUAUGAGAGAGUUUUUUCAUGCCGCGGUAUUAAAGAAAAGAUUUUUAAUUUGGCCAUGUUAUUUAUGUUUCAGUUAGCUUUAAAUGUUUUAUCUUCUUCUUGCACGAAGAGCUCUAAUUAUCUUACCUAAACUAAUCAAGUACAAUUCGGCUAGUUCUGUAUAGAGGUUCAUUAUGAAUGUAUAUAUGCCUGCCAUGCUAUAUAUCUGUAAAAUUAAGAAAAUUGAAGAAAUAGUAACAGUACUAAUAAUGUCAAAUGCAUAGUACUUGUUCACGAACAUGCAUUAUGAACUGGCCGCGGAAAGAUAACAAUUGAGUGAUAUAUAUGAGUAGAGCUGCGAUGUUCAUAAGUUUGAUCGAUCUGUACGUGAUGAUCCCUUUCCUGCAAGACCUACAAUACUUGGAUCAGUGAUAUAUAGUGGGAUUCGAUCAGUAUCUAGCUUUGGUCCACCCUAGGCCAAGUGCUUCCAGUGUACAUAACUAACUAGCUUUAUUCCUAUAUAUAAAACUAGAUGCCCUUUUCAGAUUUCUGAUUUUGCCAAAAUGAACAAACAUUCCCCCAAACCCAGGUGAAUGCUUAACUAAUUUAAACCUCUAUUAAUAAUAUAUUCUCAGGUCAUCCUGUUCUGUAGACUUUUCUCAUGUCAUACAGACACACAGACAUUGAGUAUUCAUUUUAGAGUAAAGUACGAUGGAGGUGGUCCAUAUCUUAUACUUGACCAAUAAAUACAAUAGCUCAGAAUUAAUAAGUAUGAUGUGAUGCACAAUGAUACAAAUGGAAGUUUCACAGAAAUUGGGUGAAGAUGAUUAAAUGAUCAUCAUGCAAAACCAUAGCAUACGCUGAAAGAGCAUGUUAAUCCUAAUUUUUGAUAUUAUGGUGUUCUUGAAGUUCUUAAGGUCUACAGUUUGGACUUUGGACAAAAGGAUUCUGAUUCAUUCCAUCAACAAUUCAACAUGCAUGCGCGUCUCCUCGAUCUAGUGGUUCUGGAUCAUAUGGCAACCCCUGAGUAGUUUAAUAAGCUGAAUGAUUCGUUUACUAUGUGGUUCCAAUCCCAAUCAGGUUUUUUAAUUAGUAGUAAGCAGCAGAAUUUUCUUCUGUUCUGAAUUGCAUUGCGCAAAAAUGCAGCAGAGGUUUAAUCAAAUAUUAAUUUAAGGUUCAAAGUUGUAGUGUUUGGUUUUAUGAAUUAGCAAGACACUAGGGUUUUUCUCUCUAGCUAUCUAACUCAUUAAUCCCCUAACCUUCUUCCCUUGAAAUAAAAUUUUCCGGUACCAUGGUAUUCUAGUUGCUGCAUAAGUCUCUUUUUCGGAAAGAUUAAAAAGAAUCUAUCCAGCUCGUUUAAAUUUUCCUGUACCAUGGUAAUCUAGAUUAAGGUGUGGCUAUGUGUCAGCAUAAUAAAGGGUUAAUUAAAAUUUUACUGCCAUAUAAGUACUUUCUUAGAGAAGGUACCACUGUAUCAGAUUCAUAUCCCAAAGGAUCUCAGUGUAUAAAGAACUAAUCAAUCACCCUUACAGAUUGAUUUAAGCCGAGCCCCUACCCAGAUAUGCAUGCAACCCUCAAUGGACCCUACAUUGUACAUACACCAAGAUUAUAUCGAACCCUACUUAGAAGAGUAGACAGACAGAGCCAGCUAAUAGGGCACUGCACAUACUUCAUCAUUUAAAAUCUUCUUGGCUUCACAUUGCUCCAUCUAUAUCUAUCGGUCCCCUCUUUCCCUGUACGUGUUCCUUUUCCUAUGUGCAGUGCAGUGCAGGCAUGGCAUUCAUAGAUGAUGCUCAUGAGGCUUCUCUCAUAACCAUGAAUUCAGUGUCCCUUGUGUUCGCUCACCAUUAAUAAUCAGUGGCUGGCCUGCAACAGUGGAAAAGAACAAACUCGAUCCCAAGCCCUAUAAACACUUUCGAAUGAAAAAAGCAAGCAAAGAAAGCAGUUCUGACUUCUGAUAUGAAUCGACCAAGAUUUGGUCGAGCAUAAAAAGGUGUUUAGAGACAGACAGAGCCCCAUUUCUAGAAAUUAGAGCAUCAUAAAUUCAACCUAAAAUUGCUAAAUUAGGCUAUUAGCUAAUUAUUAAAUUCAGCUGGAUGUGAGAUAACUACUAUUGUUUAAUUUGAUUGUCCGUUUAGAUGUGAAGGUCUAUUUCUUUCGAUGAUAGACGCUAAUUAAUUCUUGAUGAUUUAAACUCUGUAAUAUGGCCGGAACGACCAAAAUUCAGGCAGUUAAAGAUACAUAAAGGUAAAGAAAGAGAGAGGGAGAGGGGGCCUGGUAGAGGGUUUGGUGCAGUUGUUAAAAGCAAAGCGUUUUUGGGAAGUAGGUUUGAGGUUUAGUCGUAGUCAGUGCAUGAGGAUGGGCUCGGAUUCCCAGCGCCCUCACUCACUCACUCAGUUGCAGCUAACCAAUUGAUCCCUAUAAUGAUUGCGUUCCUUUUCCUCUCUCUUAUCCUAACCUGCAGCAAUCCAUUUCUGCAUGCAUAUGCAUAUGGAUGCAGUGAGUGAGGUCGAGAGAGCUGUCUCUGUUUCUUAAUUUUGCCCUUUUUUCUUUUAGACAAAAUUGACUGUUACUAAUAGUGACACUUCUUCUUUCUUGUUUCCAUGACAAGAAAUCAUCACAGAGAUUUUGUACAACAAAAGAAAAGGAUCGAAAGAAGAAGAAACCCCAUGUGCAUCAAUUUAGAGAGAGCUUCAUGCUUCAACCCGGCUAGCAAGCUAGGCUGCUGCAUAUGAGUUUACUGCUGUUACUUCGUUGGAUCCAAUUUGGUGCUACUAGCUUGAUAUAUAUUUUGUUUUCCUACCUACAAAUCUAACCAUCUAGGCAAUGAUCGAAGGACCCGACAUAUAUAUGCUUAGAACCUUGGACCACUCUAAGUACUACUACUACUACUAAAGGUGGAUCCAUCAUAUCACUCAGCUGCUUUAACCCUGAGAAAGUUUUUUGGCCUUUUACCUUCUCCGAAUUUCCAAAGUUUUUAAUUAAUAAACAAAAGACUGAAAAAAGAGCUCACACUAGAGGUGUGUAUGUUCUGAUGCAUAUAUAUAGUCAUACAGUCAUAUAUCCCUCUCUUACUCUUUUGCUUUACCUUCUCUUCAUUUCUAACUGAUCGACCUCCUCCACACUUGUUCAACAUUAUAUGUAUAACAUUUUUUUUUCUAGCUGCAACGGGAACUUAUUUGAUAAAUUGGUAGGACUCUCCCUUGCCUAUUUAACCCAUCUCUCCAUUUCCCUUUUGAUUUCACAUCAACUCAAUAUCAUAUCUCUAUCUUAAAUGUUAGUAGUAUUAGCUCACCAUGGCUAAGCUUAGCCUUCUCUCCUUGACCCAACUCCAAAAAUUAGCACCGUCAUCGGCGCAGAAUCCUCAAUCAAACUCUAGAUCAAUUUGGAUGUGGAACCCUAAGCAAGCGCAAGAUCAAGAAGACGACUCAUGGGAAGUGAGGGCCUUUGCAGAGGACACCGGAAACGUGAUGGGAACCACAUGGCCGCCGAGGUCUUACACCUGCACAUUUUGCCGGAGGGAAUUCCGGUCAGCUCAGGCCCUCGGCGGCCACAUGAACGUGCACCGCCGCGACCGGGCGCGCCUCCACCAAGUGCAGCACCCCAGCUCAAUCUCAAUCAACCCAUCUGCCAUCUCCUCUUCCAGUUCCUCAUUCAUAAUCCCAACUCAAGAGUUCCUCGCCGCCAACGGCGGAUUGUGCCUUCUCUACCAAUUCUCGGACCCUAAUAAUGGAGCCUUCACUACUAGUGCUGUUACUGCUCCAACUGCACCUUUGCUUAACAACAUUGUUGAGUCUUCUUCAGUACCCUCUAGUCUACUCGCCCCCAAUCCACUCCAUGACUACUUAAUGACGUCAUCACCUAGUACUCUUGUGGGGCCUCAUGGAGCUUCCAAUUCUAGAAAUAAUUCUCAUUGUCAAGACGCAAAACGAUCAGCAAACGAAGAUCAACCUUCGAGGUCUGGGGUUGAAGAUAUUGAAGAGCUUGAUUUAGAGCUCCGGCUCGGUCCAUCUUGAGAUCAUCAUGAACCAGAAAGAAGGGAUGGAUCGAUGGAUAAGUCCAUAUAUAUAAUGGUGUGUUUUUGCAAACUUACACUUUUGUCAUAUAAUUGAUGUGUAAGAUUCAGUCUACUUAGCUAGAAAGCAUACAGAAACUUGUUUGAGAUUGAUUUUUUGUUUUGUUUUGUUUUUUCUUUCAAUUAAUUUUUGGUGAUUGAUGAUAUACUAGUUCUUUUAGAUAGCUGGAAAUGGAAAGACAACGGAGGAGCCAUAAAGUUGCGUGUGAAAUUCAAGAGAGCAAUUCUUUGUGAUAUAAAUUUAUGAAAUUCAGUUAUUAUUAAUUAAACGUUUAGAGAAAGAUGAAGAUUAGGCUUCUGAAUUUUUGAGUGAUGGAGAGAGUGUGAUAAAGAGGUUGCAGUGCAAUGUCAUUUUAUGUUGCAGGUUUUCUGAGUGAAAGGGUAUCUAUGCUGCUGUCUCUGUGCAUACAUUUCCGUGGGGAUUACUACUAUCACGUAUGGCUCUCUCUGAGAUUCCUCAUCUUGUUUUCCACAAACCACAAAUUUCCCACCUAGCUAUCUCCAAAUGUUACCUAUACUAAAGAUGGGUUGCAGGACUUUUGGCUCAUCUUUAUUACGAGCACGUACUGCACAUACUUCAUCAUUCAAUUUCUUCUUGGCUUCAUAUUGCUCCAUCUAUAUCUAUCGGUCCCCUCAUCCCACUGUUUCUUUUCCUGUGUGCAGUGCAGGCAUCGCAUUCAUAGAUAGAUUCUCAUUAGAUCUCUCUCAUAAGUCAUAACCAUGAAUUCAGUGUCCCUUCUGUUCGCGCACCAUUAAUAUUCAGUACUGGCUCGCACUGCAACAGUGGAAAAGAACAAACUCGAUCCGAAACCCUAGAAACACUUCCGAAUGAAAAAAAGCAAGCAAAGAAAGCAGUUCUGAUAUGGAUCGACCAAGAUUUGGUCGAGCAUAAAAAGGUGUUAAGAGACAGACAGAGCCCCAUUUCUAGAAAUUACAGCAUUAUAAAUUCAACCUAAAAUUGCUUAAUUAGGCUAUUAGCUGAUUCUUACAAUAUUCAGCUGGAUGUGAGAUAUAUAGCCUCGUCCGUACUCACCGAUAUCAUCUUAAUCGCACUACUGUUGUUUAAUUAGAUUGUACGUUUAGCUGUGAAGGUCUAUCACUAAUAUGAACCGUACUUAAUUUCUUGCUAGCUGAUGAAUUACCAUGACUCCAUGAGCAUGUCCGGGUCUCAUCAAUUCUUUAUCAACACCUUAAUUAGUGCCCCUAAUUUUCAAAAGCAAAGCGUUUUUGGGAAGUAGGUUUGAGGUUUAGUCGUAGUCAGUGCAUGGGGAUGGGCUCGGAUUCCCAGCGUCCUCACUCACUCACUCACUCAGUUGCAGCUAACCGAUCGAUCCCUAUAAUGGUCGCGUCCCUUUUCCUCUCUCUUAUCUUAAUCUGCAGCAAUCCAUUUCUGCAUGCAUAUGCAUAUGGAUCCAGUGAGUGAGAUAUUGAAAGAGCUGUUGCUAAUAGUGACAUUUCGAUCUUCUUAACGUUUCCAUGACAAGAAAUCCUCACAGAGAUUUUUGGCAACAAAAGAAAAGGAUCGAAAGACGAAGAAACUCCAUAAGCACCAGCUUUCACCCUGCUAGCUAGCUAGCUUGCUAAGUUGCAGCGUGAUGAGUUUACUAUUACACGGUUGGAUCCAAUUUGGUACAGAAACUAAUAGCUUGAUAUUUUGUUUUCCUACCUAUAAAUAUAGGCAAUGAGGGACCCGACAUAUAAAACCUUGGACCACUCUAAUCAGGUACUACUACUACAACUCAUCACUCAGCUAUCCCCCCAAAAAAUUAACAAUCUUCAGUAGCUUUUUACCUUCUUCAAAAAAUGUACAUAUACAGAGAAGUUGAGAUAAAACAGCUCACCAAAAUGUUAUAUAUGUUAUAAAUAAAAGGGGAAAGAGACUUACUAGCUAGUUAAUAGAAGAGUAGAACUAGUGAGAGAGUAGAAGAACAAGAGAGAAUAGAUGGGGGAAUGGUGUUGUUGGUGUUGUGUCAUUCAUCAUUCACUCACCCCUUUAUAUAGGAUUGAGAUACUUGGUGAUUACACAUAUAAAGCUUGAUGGAGAAGCUUGGUAACUUGGUGAACACACACAAGUUAACUUGCUAGACACUCACAAGCUAUGGUAACUUGUCUAGUACAAGCUUUCUACACAAGAUUACAACACAAAGUAAUUUGGACAACCAUACAUAUUUACAACACUCCCCCUUGGAUGUCCACCAAUUAGUUUGGUGUUGGACGCCCUUAAUGUUGCCUCGUUAAAAACCUUGCCAGGUAACAAAAACCCAAUGGGAAAAAAUAACCCUGGUCUAAGGAGAAAAAGAGCACAACGCGCAUAUGUCCUUUUGAGAAUGGCUUUAGGUGCUCCCCCUGAUCUCUGCACACUUCUUCUCGUAGCUUGGAAAGUUGAUGCAUUCCAAUGCCUUGCACUAACUUCUUGAAUACACAUUUUGGUAGAGAUUUGGUGAAGAGAUCUGCCAAGUUGUCAACUGAUCGGAUUUUUCUAACUUCAACUUCUUCAUGCUUUUGAAGCUCAUGUGUGAAGAAGAACUUCGGUGCAAUGUGCUUUGUUUUAUCUCCUUUGAUGUAACCUUCUUGAAUUUGAGCUAUACACGCUGCAUUGUCUUCGUGUAAGAUUGUAGGAGCGUCUGUCACUGAUGGCAAGUUACAUGUUCUCCGAAUAUGGCGAAUCAUUGAUCUCAACCAAACACAUUCUCGGCUAGCCUCGUGAAGCGCAAGUAUUUUUGAGUGAUUGGAGGAAGUAGCUACCAGUGAUUGCUUUGUCGAUCGCCAUGAAAUUGCAGUGUCUCCACAAGUAAAUACAUAACCUGUUUGUGAGUGAACUUUGUGCGGAUCAGAGAGAAAACCAGCAUCUGCAUAUCCAACAAUACUCGGACUAUUUUUGGAUUUGUAAGUAUAACAUAAACCCAUGUCCAUCGUACCACGAAGGUAGCGCAAAAUAUGUUUUACACUAUUCCAAUGGCGUAAUGUUGGAGCAGAGCUAUAUCUUGCCAAUAAAUUUACCACAAAGGCAAUAUCCGGUCUAGUGCAUUGUGCUAAAUAAAGCAGGGCACCUAUAGCGCUCAUAUAUGGUACUUGAGGACCAACGAUAUUUUCACCUUCUUGUCUCGGACGGAAAGGAUCUUUCUCAACGUCCAGAGACCGAACGACCAUUGGGGUGCUUAGUGGAUAGGCUUUGUCCAUACCAAAUUUUUUCAAAACUUUUUCAGUAUAAGUUGAUUGAUGGACAAGAAUCCCACUAGCAAAAUGCUCGAUCUGUAGACCGAGGCAAAAUUUUGUCUUCCUAAGGUCUUUCAUUUCAAAUUCUUUCUUUAAAUAUUCAGCAGUCUUUGUGAGCUCUGCAGGGCUCCCAAUUAAAUUCAUGUCAUCGACAUAGACUGCUACUAUUGCAAAACCAGAAUUUGAUUUCUUGAUGAACACGCAAGGACAUAGAGGAUCAUUAAUAUAUCCCUCCUUAGUUAAAUACUCACUGAGACGGUUGUACCACAUUCGUCCGGAUUGUUUCAAUCCAUAUAACGACCGUCUUAAUUUAAUUGAGUAUAUGUUGCGUGAUUUUGUAGUUGCUUCAGGCAACUUAAGUCCUUCUGGGACUUUCAUGUAUAUAUCGGUAUCUAACUCCCCGUAUAGAUAUGCAGUAACAACAUCCAUAAGUCGCAUAUCAAGUUUCUCUGAAACUACUAGACUUAUGAGAUACCGAAAUGUAAUAACAUCUAUGACGGGGGAAUAAGUUUCAUCAUAAUCAAUCCUAGGCUUUUGUGAAAAACCUUGUGCAACAAGGCGUGCUUUAUAUCUUGCAAUCUCAUUCUUCUGAUUGCGCUUUCUUGUAAACACCCAUUUAUAACCGAUAGGGUUCACAUUGGGUGGAGUUUGGACUACUGGUCCGAAAACAUUGCCUUUUUUGAGAGAAUCUAGCUCUGCUUGGAUUGCAUCUUUCCAUUUGAGCCAAUCAUAUCUCUGUCUACAUUCAUCGACAGAGCGAGGUUCAAAGUCAUCGCUUUUAACGAUCUCAGCAGCUACUGCGAAUGAAAAUACAUUGUCGACGAUCGUUUCUCUUCGAUCCCACAAUUUAUUUGUGUGCACAUAAUUUAUGGAAAUUUCCUAAUUAUCAGGUACCUGAUCAGCCUCCUCAUGGGCUUGUGUCUCAACAUGGACACUUUGCUCUUCUGUAAUUACAGGAUCAUGAAUUGUGGAUCGAUUAUCAACGUUUUACCCAAUAACGUUUUCAACAACGAUGUUAUUAUGAUUCAGUUGUGCUUUUGCUUUCCUUUUUCUAGGAACUGAAUCCUUUGAACCUACAGGUCUGCCACGCUUGAGGCGUGCGACAUAUGGCUCAUUAGCCGCCACAUUAUUUUGUCUAGUUGGGACAUCUAUCUUUGCAGGUGCAUUAGCUGUUGGGAUAUGUGAUCUUGUCACUUUUGCUAUAUCAAUAAAUGCAUCAGGCAUUCUGUUAGCAACAUCUUGAAGGUGUACGAUCCUUCGUACUUCAUUUUCACUUUGUGCAGUACGAGGAUCAAGAUGAGACAUAGUGGGUGUAUCCCAUGAUAAUUCACGACGUUCUUCAGGAACAGUCUUUUCUCCCCCUAACGGCGGGAAUAAUGUCUCAUCAAAGUGACAAUCUGCAAAACGUGCAGUAAAGAUAUCACCUGUCAAGGGUUCCAGAUAUCUAAUGAUAGAUGGUGAAUCAUAACCAACAUAGAUUCCCAUUCUUCGUUGAGGGCCCAUUUUAGUACGUUGUGGCGGUGCAAUAGGCACAUAAACAGCACAACCAAAAACUCUUAGAUGGGAUAUACUGGGUUGAUUCCCAAAAACGAGUUGUAAUGGGGAAUAUUGAUAGUUGGCUAUGGGCCUUAACCGGAUUAAUGAUGCCGCAUGCAAAAUGGCAUGUCCCCAUGCAGAGGUCGGCAACUUUGUCCUCAUGAGUGAGGUGCGCGUAAUUAUUUGCAAGCGCUUAAUAAGAGCUUCUGCCAAGCUAUUUUGGGUAUGAACGUGAGGGACCGGAUGCUCAACCUCAAUUCCCAAAGACAUGCAAUAAUCAUCAAAUGCUUGGGAUGUAAAUUCACCAGCAUUAUCUAAUCGAAUUGAUUUAAUAGAAUAAUUUGGGAAUUGUGCUCGUAAUUUAAUUAUCUGAGCAAGAAGCUUGGCGAAUGUCAUAUUACGUGUUGACAAGAGACAAACAUGUGACCAUCUUGUAGAAGCAUCAAUUAAGACCAUAAAAUACCGAAAUGGUCCGCAAGAUGGUUGUAUAGGCCCACAAAUGUCCCCUUGAAUUCUUUGUAAAAAUGAUGGGGAGUUUGCAUCAAUCUUUGCAAAAGAUGGCCUAAUGAUCAACUUUCCUUGUGAGCAUGCUUUACAAGGAUUAUUGCUUGGCAAAAUAACAUUCUUAUUCAUCAAUGGAUGUCCAUUGGAAUUAGUAAUAAUCCUACGCAUCAUCGUGGAUCCUGGGUGACCUAGUCGGUCAUGCCAAAACAUUAAUGUGUGUUGAUCAGUGAACUUUUGGUUCAUAACAUGGUAUGCCUCCAUUGACUUAAUGGUUGUAUAGUACAAACCAGAUGAGAGGGCAACCAUCCUUUCCAAUAUACGCCUUUGGCUGUAAGUAUUGGAAGUAAUGCAAAGAUACUCCACAUUGUUCUCAUUUGUGGUUUCUAUGUGGUACCCAUUCAAUCGUAUAUCCUUAAAACUCAACAGAUUCCUUUUAGAUCUGGAGGAGUACAAUGCCUCUUGAAUGGAUAAUUGGGUACCAUUUGACAACCGAAUAUGAGCUCUUCCAGAGCCUUCAAUUAGGUCUGCAGGACCUAAAAUGGUUGUCACUUUUGCUCUUGUCAAAUUUAAAGUGGAAAAAUAUUUUCGAUCUCUAAGAAUCAUGUGCGUGGUAGCACUAUCUGCAAGGCAUAUUUCUUCUCCAUCUUGAGAGCAUCCAUUUUUCAUUUUAUGCCUUCAUAGAAAAUAAUACCAACAUAAAUAUAGAUAGUAUGCAAAAAUAAGAUAAACAUACAUUUAUUUAAUAAAGUUUAUUUAAUAAAGGAAAGGAAGUACACAUUUUUUUUUAUUCAAUGAAGCAUGAAAGGGAAAUACUAGAUUAAACAUGAAAAUGAAAUAACAUAGAUAUUAAACUAAUUGAUGUUGGGGACGCCACCACCAAUCAUGUCAUCAACAUGACUCCCAUUGUUCGCAAAGAAAUCUGAAACAUCAAGGGAAGUUAUAUCUAAUGGCCCAGACGACUCCCAAGGAUCAGAAUGAUCAACGUGGUUUAUUUCCACAUUUUUCCUCUCUAGGGAGGCUUGGUAAAGAUCCACCAAAUGCUUAGGUGUACGGCAAGUCGUAGCCCAGUGGUUUGAUGAACCACAUCUAUGACAAUUAUUGUCAUUAUUUCGGGGCACUUUGCUUGCCUGGCCAUUCCCUUUGUUGAACUUGGCAAUGUUUCUUGGUCCCAAAUUUUGGUUAUAACCUUUAUGACCACGACCAUUGUGUCGUCCACGGCCACGCUUACGACCAUGGCUGCGUCUAUGAUUAUACCAAUCGCCAUGCCUUCCUCCACGUCCAUUGCUAUUCCCGCUAAAAUUUGAGGCAUUUGCUUCCGGGAAUGGUUGUGACCCAGUUGGACGGGAUUGAUGAUUUCUCAUCAACAGCUCAUUAUUUUGUUCAGCCACAAGAAGACAAGAAAUCAAUUCAGAAUAUUUCUUGAAUCCACGCUCUUGAUACUGCUGUUGCAAGAGCAUGUUUGAAACGUGGAAAGUAGAGAAUGUUUUCUCUAGCAGCAUGUCUUCUGUGAUUUGCUCACCACACAACCUUACCAUGGAGCUAAUCUUGAAUAGAGCUGAGUUGUACUCCUUCACUGUCUUGAAAUCUUGAAGUCGCAAAUUCGACCAUUCAAAGCGAGCUCUGGGGAGCAUCACAUCCUUUUGAUGAGCAUAUCGCUCGGCUAAGGCUUUCCAAAUCUCAAGUGGAUCUUUGACAGUGAGGUAUUCAUCUUUCAAUCCUUCGUGAAUAUGAUGACGAAGAAAGAUCAUGGCUUUGGCGCGAUCCUGUUGGGAUGCGGUAUUGCCUUCCUUGAUAAUAUUUCCAAGGUUUGAGGCCUGAAGAUGUAUCUCGGCAUCAAGGACCCAUGAAAGGUAAUUCUUACCGGAUAUGUCGAGUGCGACAAAUUCUAAUUUUGCCAAGUUUGCCAUCUCCUAUACCAAGAAGAUGAGAUAUGUCAAAAUCCAUAAAUGUUAGAAUUGUGGCUCUUAACAUUGAAAUAAUUCAAACUUCAUGAGGAAGUAAUCCACUCGAAAUUUUUGGGUUCGAGGUUGACAUAUCUAUUUGAACAAUGGAACAUGGAUGAGCCAUGUGCUCGAAACUUUAGGUUCGAGACUUUAUUAUUAGAACAUGAGGUUCUAAACGUUGGUGGUUUGAACAUGUGGUUCAAAACGCUUAGCACUCCAAACUUCGUGUUUGAGUUAGACCAACCGUUAUAUGAAUAAGAUGUGAAUAUAUAUUGCACAAAUAUAAACAUACAUGGUAAUGAAUAAGAUGUGUAUAUAUUUUACCUUUGCCAAUUGAGAGAGACAUAGUAUAAAUUUAGCAUGAGAGAAUUGAUAAGACGUAUUUGCACACGCAUCAAUUAACCCUGUCAACAAAUCAAUCGUAGUAUAAAGCAAGCAGGGAUCGUUCUAAACCGGGGAUCCAGCUACAGGGUAGAUCCAUCUAAUCUAAUGUAAGUAUCGAAAUAAGCAUAUAGGUCUAAAGGUUUUAUGAUUUCGGAACAAUAUUAAUAAUAAAUCCUAAAUUACUUCUAUACAUAUAUACAUGUGAUCAACCAACAUUCAUGCAAACUCAACCAAACAACCAUGCAAGAAUAAAGAAGACGAUUUCUAAUCUCAUUUAAGUCUACACCGUGAGCAAAUAUACAACCUAAAUUUGAUAUGCACAUAAGUUCCUACGUGGUUCCUAUGACAUAGACCAACUUAGAAUUAGACUACGGGUUUCAUUCAACAUCGCGACACAACAAGCUCGGCUACAUGCUCUACUUAUUGGUCACACACAUAAACUAAUCAUGCAAUUACGUAUCACAUAAAGAAUUUGAUAUGUUUAAGCACAAGUCCAAAUCAAACAUAGGUAGAAAAUCGGUGAAAAACAAAGACAAUGCAACUUAUCAACUACGUGUAUCAAAGUCGAACUUUGGAUGAUUAACACAUGCAAUAUCAACUACUUGUAUCAACUACACAUGAUAAUGGAAUAUAGCACCGAAAAUCUUAAAGUAUUUAGACAUAAAACUCACGGCAUAAAACCUCAAAUCAUUGAUUAUAAAUUGUAAACUUUAAUUCAUAACAUGGCUCAAAAGUACUUCUAUCUCAUAGACAAGAAUCGAAACAAACUUAAGCAAAUACCUAAAGCAAACAAAAACAGGAACAAACACAUAGCAAUCCGAAAAUAGAAGAUGAAAUACACUCUCAAAAUAUCCCUACUUGUUCUAUUCUUCGAGUGCGCGGAGUCCUAGGCUACGUGCUUUGGACGAAUGCUGAAGGUGGGAUCGGAUUGUGGUGUUUGGAGGUUGAUAGAGUUUCGGCAAAGGCUUUGAUGUUAUUUGCACGGGUUGAUGAUGCUCUUCUGUCCUUGAAGUCGUGCUUUAUAUAGAGGAAAAACCCUAGAGAAGUCGGCCACAAAGCCUAAACCAAGUUGGUUUAGGAUUCCUAGUUCUUCUCAAUUUCGGCAGAAUGACAUCCGUCUGAUGAUUACGUCAUAACUCCCUCUAGAAAAUAGAUAUUGAGGUGAUUCCAAUUGAUUACGUCAUAACUCCCGUAGCUUUCUAUCCAUAUCUGGCACGUUUUCUGAUUCAUUGUGAGCUGUCCUGGAGAGUCCGUUGAAGUUGACAGACGUGCACAGGAAUUCUCCCGAUUUAAUCCAGAUUUUCAAGGCUUGGAUAUUCUUGAAAUUCUGCCGAAUUUAGAUCUUUUUCUCCAUAUUGGACUUGGUUUGGACCUCUCCUUCAUGGACUAGGCUUCGAGGAAAGAUGGAAUCUUGAUCAAGACAGGAAUCUUGAGUAAACAAGGGUUUCCAACACUUAGCACAAUUUCAACACCAAAUUAUUCAAAUCCGAAAAUACUAUGUAUUCUAAUACUAAAAACUACAUAUUUCUAAAUUAAGCAAUUAUUCUACACUAAACACAAAUAUAAAGCUAAAACAACUAAAUAGGAGUUAACAAAGGGUAAAUAAAGGGUAUAAACAUAUUAAGAACGUCACACUUUGUGCUCCUAUCAAGAAUCAUAUAUCAUACAAGGCGAAAAUAAUAAAUGCAAGAUAAAUGAAUUUGAUUUGAGAACUCAUAGAUCGUGAGCAUUGGUUAAAAACAACAUUGUUGCACCAUAUGACUCUUUGAUCAUCAUCGAGUUUAUGGGAGCGGUAAAGACUAUCGUGCUGAUAACGUGUUAUAAAUAAAAGGGGGAAAGAGACUUACUAGCUAGUUAAUGGAAGAGUAGAACUAGUGAGAGAGUAGAAGAACAAGAGAGAAUAGAUGGGGGAAUGGUGUUGUUGGUGUUGUGUCAUUCAUCAUUCACUCACCCCUUUAUAUAGGGUUGAGAUACUUGGUGAUUACACAUAUAAAGCUUGAUAGAGAAGCUUGGUAACUUGGUGAACACACACAAGUUAACUUGCUAGACACUCACAAGCUAUGGUAACUUGUUUAGUACAAGCUUUCUACACAAGAUUACAACACAAAGUAAUUUGGAUAACCAUACAUAUUUACAACAAUAUAUAUAUAGGAAUUCUCAGGUGCGGACGUCCGCACCAAAGUUUUGGUGCGGAUUUCCAUUUUUGUACCACUUUUCGAUCGAAUUUUCUCAUCUCCACCGUCUGGUAUCUAGAUAAUAUUGUGUAGAUCAUCUCUGCAAAAUUUCAGCUAAUUUGGUAAUCGUUAAGGCCCUCAAACUCGAAAAACAAAUGGACGGACUGAAUUCUGUUCGGUUGUGUUCAUACCAGAAAAACUCGAGCUUAAGGGCCUUAGAGCAAAUGCACCCAUUUUAGGUGGGUUGGACCAAUCCUUAACCCGGGCUAAUCCACUAUUCAUCCAAAUUAGUCCUUGGUCUUUAGUUCGACGAUACAACAACGAGACCAAUCUGAGAACCAAUUACUAUUCACUUUUUAUAAAAAUAUUUUUUUAUUGAUAAACAAUUUUUGUUUUUUACUUUAUUAUUGAAUUCAAUAAUUAUUUAUUUAUAAACAAGAUGCUCAUGUAAUAUAUAGAAAGAAAUUAAAACUACAAUUAUUUAUAUAAGAUAUGAAUGACCAAUGUGGAAUGGACGUACACGUGUUCAUAUCAAUAUCGUUAUCUUUCAUAAAUAUCUAAAAUUUCCGAUAAAGUUAUACCAAUGAACAGACGACACGUGUUCUUUUCAGAUAUCGUUAUCUUUAGAAAUAAUUGAGAUGAUUUCGGAUAGGAUUUCAAGUAAAUCACGACAUGCCACUUGUGUAGACGAUAAUAGUUUGUCUCCCAAAAAUGUCAAUAAAUAAGCUUUAAACUCAUUCUACAUUCACACAUUCAUCUCAUUCAUCUCCUCCUUCUAAACUCAGAUAUUAUCAUCUAUUUCACUUCUCACAUUUUUCAUGGAUCGUAUUAGAAAUUAUUUGAGAGAGAGAGAUGAAGAAGAUGAAGAGCACAUUAUGCAGAUUCGGUCCAACAAUGUUCAAGCUGCUGCAUUGGUUGCCCAAUAUCACCAUAUGCAGAUGCAGACUCCUCAAGGUCGUGGUUCACGUCCUGGUCGUGCCCCUAACGUCGAAAGACAUAGGCAAUCAAGAGGGGCUAACAUGAUGGAGGAUUACUUUGUCGAGCGUCCAGUGUAUAACAACACAAUUUUUCGUCAGCGCUAUCGAAUGCAAAAACCAGUAUUCAAUCGCAUCAUGGCAGACCUUUGCAAUUUCGACGAUUUUUGGAAGCAAAAACCAGAUGCCACAGGAAAGCUAGGAUUGCUCCCAGAACAAAAAAUGACAGAUGCGUUACGAAUUAGGAGUGGCACUUCUGAGUUGAAAACCGAAAAAAACCGAGCCGAAAACCGAGCCGAAACCUUAAAAAUCGGGCCGAAAAAAAAACGAGCCGAAAACAAAAAACCGGGCCGAACCAGAUUUGUUCGGUUUGGUUUUCGGUUUCAGCUUUGCAGAAACCGAAGUCAACCCGGUCAACNNNNNNNNNNNNNNNNNNNNNNNNNNNNNNNNNNNNNNNNNNNNNNNNNNNNNNNNNNNNNNNNNNNNNNNNNNNNNNNNNNNNNNNNNNNNNNNNNNNNNNNNNNNNNNNNNNNNNNNNNNNNNNNNNNNNNNNNNNNNNNNNNNNNNNNNNNNNNNNNNNNNNNNNNNNNNNNNNNNNNNNNNNNNNNNNNNNNNNNNNNNNNNNNNNNNNNNNNNNNNNNNNNNNNNNNNNNNNNNNNNNNNNNNNNNNNNNNNNNNNNNNNNNNNNNNNNNNNNNNNNNNNNNNNNNNNNNNNNNNNNNNNNNNNNNNNNNNNNNNNNNNNNNNNNNNNNNNNNNNNNNNNNNNNNNNNNNNNNNNNNNNNNNNNNNNNNNNNNNNNNNNNNNNNNNNNNNNNNNNNNNNNNNNNNNNNNNNNNNNNNNNNNNNNNNNNNNNNNNNNNNNNNNNNNNNNNNNNNNNNNNNNNNNNNNNNNNNNNNNNNNNNNNNNNNNNNNNNNNNNNNNNNNNNNNNNNNNNNNNNNNNNNNNNNNNNNNNNNNNNNNNNNNNNNNNNNNNNNNNNNNNNNNNNNNNNNNNNNNNNNNNNNNNNNNNNNNNNNNNNNNNNNNNNNNNNNNNNNNNNNNNNNNNNNNNNNNNNNNNNNNNNNNNNNNNNNNNNNNNNNNNNNNNNNNNNNNNNNNNNNNNNNNNNNNNNNNNNNNNNNNNNNNNNNNNNNNNNNNNNNNNNNNNNNNNNNNNNNNNNNNNNNNNNNNNNNNNNNNNNNNNNNNNNNNNNNNNNNNNNNNNNNNNNNNCCCUCCUCUCCUCCCUAAUUUGAUCUCAUCUUCGUGCUCCGCCACCGGACUCCAGUCCUCCAAGUCUCCAACCUCUCCUCUCCUCUCCUCUCGGCCUGACCAUCACAAUGAAGAAGGGUAAAUUGAACCCAUCGAAGCGGGGCUCAACUGGUCGUGGUGCUGCGAUCAGUGCAAUGGACAAAUCGUCCUCAUCUUCUCAGGUAUUUUUUUUUCUUUUCGGAAUGUCCUCAUCUUCUCUAUUGUAUAUAAACUUUGGAAAAUCAUAAGUAUUUGUAGAGAAAUCAUUUUGCUGCGAUUCCAAUUCUCAAAUAAUCUUUAGGUUGUCUAUUACAAUUGUUAUGAAGAGACCAACUUGAAAUUUUUAGCCGAGCUAUACUGUUUUUAGCCAAAAAGGUCUGCUGGUCAGGAAGACAGGAACUCAGGAAGUUAGCAGUUUUUCUCUACUGUAUAGGAAUUUUGGAAAAUAAUAAGUAUUUGUAGAAAAUUCUUUUUACUGCGAUUCCAGUUCUCAAAUAAUCUUUAGGUUGUCUGUUACAAUUGUUGUGAAGAGACCAACUUGAAAUUCUUAGCCGAGCUAUACUGUUUUUAACCAAAAAUGUCUGCUGGUUAGGAACUCAGGAAGUUAGCAGUUUUUUUCUACUGUAUAUGAACUUUGGAAAAUCAUAAGUAUUUGUAGAAAAAUUCUUUUGCUGCGAUUCCAGUUCUCAAAUAAUGUUUAGGUUGUCUGUUACAAUUGUUAUGAAGAGACCAACCUGAAAUUCUUAGCCGAGAUAUACUGUGUUUAGCCAAAAAAGGUCUGCUGGUCAGGAACUCAGGAAGUUAGCAGUUUUUCUCUACUGUAUACGAACUUUGGAAAAUCAUAAGUAUUUGUAGAAUAACCCUUUUGCUGCGAUUCUAGUUCUCAAAUAAUCUUUAGGUUGUUUGUUACAAUUGUUAUGAAGAGACCAACCUGAAAUUCUUAGCCGAGCUAUACUGUUUUUAGCCAAAAAGGUCUGCUGGUCAGGAAGUUAGGCAUACAUUUUCUGAUUUUGUUCCUUUGCUCUUAGUCUCAAUGUUUGCUAAAUGAUUCUUGCUUGAUUUGGUCUAUAAUACUUAACUUGUUUAAAUUGAUUUAUUUUUUUAUGCAGAUGCAAGUUGAUAGUGUUGGUGUUGGUGAAUCGGCAACUCCGACACCGGUUCCUUGUUUUGUGAUGUAUAAACUUUUAACAUUAGACUCUAUUUGUAUUUUGUAAUUUAUGGACUUUUGAGUUUAACCAUAUAGAAGUAUGGAGUAUGAACUAUGAAGUAUAAACUUUAUAAUUUGUGUUUAAGAUGUAUGGACUUUAACUAUGGACAUUCAAACUAUUUUUAGUGUUUUGAUUGUUUUUGUAUACAUUUGGUUAGUGGUUAUAUUGAUAUAUAGUUUUGAAAAUGCUAAAAGCAAGAAAGGUGGAGGAGCUGUUAAUUUUUUUGUUACAGUUAAAUCAUAGUCAGAAAAUUUUACAGUUUCUAUAAANNNNNNNNNNNNNNNNNNNNNNNNNNNNNNNNNNNNNNNNNNNNNNNNNNNNNNNNNNNNNNNNNNNNNNNNNNNNNNNNNNNNNNNNNNNNNNNNNNNNNNNNNNNNNNNNNNNNNNNNNNNNNNNNNNNNNNNNNNNNNNNNNNNNNNNNNNNNNNNNNNNNNNNNNNNNNNNNNNNNNNNNNNNNNNNNNNNNNNNNNNNNNNNNNNNNNNNNNNNNNNNNNNNNNNNNNNNNNNNNNNNNNNNNNNNNNNNNNNNNNNNNNNNNNNNNNNNNNNNNNNNNNNNNNNNNNNNNNNNNNNNNNNNNNNNNNNNNNNNNNNNNNNNNNNNNNNNNNNNNNNNNNNNNNNNNNNNNNNNNNNNNNNNNNNNNNNNNNNNNNNNNNNNNNNNNNNNNNNNNNNNNNNNNNNNNNNNNNNNNNNNNNNNNNNNNNNNNNNNNNCCGUUCCGACGGAGCUAGGGGGAGUCUCCAAAACAAUUUCUUCAUCAUCCAAAUUAAUUGGUGAUUCAGUUUGGGGACCGCUAGCCGUGGAGUAAACAAAGGGGGUGACUUGAGGCGUUGGUGCAUCUCUAAAAUAAGGGUGAUCCUUCACCGCCUCCCAACACUCCUUAUGCUCGAAUUGCUUUUUAAUCACCCUCAUAUACUCUAGGUUAAUUUGAUGCUCCUAUGAAAAAAAAACCAAACAAUAUAAAAAUUAAUAACCAUAUUAAUUUGUCGAAAUAUAUUUAAGUGGAUGGACAAAAAAAAAAAAUACCUCAUCUAAUUGAUUGGUGCCGCUUGGUCUAUGAAUCCCAACUUGAAUUUUCGCGUUGUGCCACGCUUUGAGAAGUCUCUUCAAAGGCUUGAAAUGAGAUUGAAGAGCCGCCGCCGGCCGAACCGCGGUUUCACCAGUCCAAUUAUCAACAUAAUACUCAUGUACCUUUUGCCACAACCUUGUAAGUGUUUGUUAAUUGCCGGUCAUGGGACAUACUGUAACCGUAGCCCAUGAUUCGCACAAUUGAAUUUCCUCCUCGGUGGUCCAAGAACUACCCGCCUCUCUCAUUUUAUGAAUGAAAAAUGAAAAAGAAGAAGAGAAGGAAGAGUAUUUUUUUUAUGAAGGAAGAGAUAUGAUAGGUAAAGAGUGUGAAAUGUGAAGAAGAGUAGUAAGGUAUUUAUAGAAAAAAUUUGUUGAUUAUUUUUUUUUUUAUUUUCAGUUUUGUCUGCAUAAUGGAACAAAUCUGUUGGGAUGGAUUUGGAACCAUCAGAUCCCAAUCCUACAGCCCUUAACAUUUGCCUGUUAUUCUUUAUGAAUUUGUUUUUUUUUGUUCAAAAAAUGUCGUUGAUACUUAAUUUGGUCCGUCAGAUCUUGAUCUGAACGGCCCAAAUUAAAGACCCGUUAGAGAAAAGCUGACUGCCCAUGUGCAUGAUUUCUUCCUCCAUGUGCAAGUUGGUGUCAGUGGGCUCGUUCAUAAAUCAGUCCAGAGUGAGACUUGGGUUGAGAAUUAACCCGGACCACAAUCCAGCUUGGUAGGUCCCCCGUGGGGGCCAGCAAUCAACCCAGAUUUGUUUCUCUCCCCUGGAAGCUGUUUUUUGCUGCAUUCCUGGUCCAACCCUUCCGAUUAGUCUUCUGCUGCAUCUGCUCUUAACGAUCACCAAAUUGGCUGAAAUUUUGCAUAGAUGAUCUACAUAAUAUUAUCUAGAUACUAG
rnacentral:lncRNA from 1 species